GGAUAUUAUCGGAGAUUUAUUGAAGGAUUUUCUAAGAUUGCUAAGCCUAUGACCUCGCUUCUAGAGAAGGGAAGAGAAUUUAAGUGGGAUGAUAAAUGUCAAGAAAGCUUUGAUCAAUUGAAGAAAAUAUUGAUGUCACCUCCAGUGUUGGUUAUGCCAGAUCUGCAGAAGGGAUUUGACAUUUAUUGUGAUGCAUGUGGCCAAGGAUUGGGAUGUGUGUUCAUGCAAGAAGGACAUGUGAUCGCUUACGCGUCUCGUCAGUUGCGGAAACACGAAUUGAACUACCCCACUCAUGACUUGGAACUAGCAGCAGUUGUGCAUGCACUUAAGAUCUGGAGACACUAUAUUAUGGGAACUAAGUGCCAAGUGUGCACGAAUCAUAAGAGUUUGAAGUAUAUAUUCACUCAGAAGGAUCUCAACCUUAGGCAACGCCGUUGGUUGGAGCUUAUUAAGGAUUAUGACUUAGAGAUUCAUUACCACCCAGGCAAGGCAAAUUUGGUUGCAGAUGCCUUGAGUCGGAAGGAGCAUGUUCACUCCGCUUUCGUCGUCCAACUACCCGAUGAAUUAGCAAAAGACUUUGAGAGACUCAAUUUGGGAAUUGUUACUCACACUGAAGGAGUUACCAUUGAGUUGGAACCUACCUUGGAGCAAGAGAUUCGUAAAGGUCAGGUUGGUGAUGCUAAGAUUCAAGAGAUUAAGGGUCUGAUUACGGAAGGUCGAGUUCCAGAGUUCACGGAGGAUGAGCAAGGUACCAUAUGGUUCAAAGAUCGGAUAUGUGUUCCAGAGAUUGAUAGCCUCCGGGAGACUAUAUUGAAGGAAACCCAUGAUUCUGAUUAUUCUAUCCACCCUGGUAGCACUAAGAUGUAUCAAGAUUUUAAGCAAAAGUAUUGGUGGUAUGGACUGAAAAGAGAUGUUGUUGCUCAUGUGGCUAAGUGUGAUGUGUGUCAAAGAGUCAAGGCCGAACAUCAAAGACCCGCUGGACUAUUACACCCGCUUAAGAUUCCUGAGUGGAAAUGGGAAGAAAUUGGCAUGUAUUUUAUUGUUGGACUACCCCGCACUCCAGCAGGAUAUGACUCUAUUUGGGUAAUUGUGGACAGAUUGACAAAAGUGGCUCAUUUUAUACCGGUGAGGACUAAUUACACGGGAGCCAAGCUAGCAGAAUUGUAUAUGACUCGGAUAGUUUGUUUACAUGGAGUACCUAAGAAGAUCGUGUCUGAUCGAGGAUCACAGUUUACUUCUCGAUUUUGGAAGAAGUUGCAUGAGAGCUUGGAUACAAAGUUGAAUUUUAGUUCAGCCUACCAUCCCCAGACUGAUGGACAGACAGAGAGGACUAAUCAAGUGCUGGAAGAUAUGUUAAGAGCUUGUGCUCUCAAGCAUGGUGGCAGUUGGGAGAAGAGCUUACCCUAUGUUGAGUUUUCUUAUAAUAAUAGCUACCAGACCAAUUUGAAGAUGUCACCGUUUGAGGCUCUGUAUGGCAGAAAGUGUAGGACACCACUGUAUUGGGAUCAAACUGGAGAAAGACAGUUCUUUGGGCCUGAACUUAUACAAGAGGCAGAAGAACAAGUUCGAAUGAUAAGAGAAAAUUUGAGAAUUGCACAAUCCAGGCAAAAGAGCUAUGCUGAUAAUAGGAGAAGAUUACUGGAGUUUAAGGAGGGUGAUUAUGUCUAUCUGAAGGUGUCACCACUUCGUGGUAUGAGGAGAUUUAAAGUCAAAGGAAAGUUGUCCCCUCGCUUCAUUGGACCUUUCUUGAUCUUAAAGCGGGUGGGAGAAGUUGCAUAUCAACUGAAGCUACCCGAUCAUCUGUCAGAUGUACAUGAUGUAUUCCAUGUGUCUCAACUAAAGAAGUGUCUCCGUGUCCCUGAGGAACAGUUACCAAUGGAUGAGCUCAGUGUUCAGGGUGAUUUGACUUAUACGGAGUAUCCCGUCAAGAUUCUUGAUGCUUUGACUCGAGUUACAAGAAAUAAGGUAAUAAAGAUGUGCAAAGUGCAAUAGAGCCAUCAUGGAGAAGAUGAAGCUACUUGGGGAAGAGAAAAAGAGUUUCGAAUAGAAUUUCCCCAUCUUUUCCCUAGAUCUUCCUAAAUCUCGAGGACGAGAUUCUUUGUAAGGGGGUAGGAUUUGUAAUACUCAAAAUUGUAUAAAAGGAUUAUAUAGUGAAUUCCUUAUCUUAUGUGCCAUAUUUGCAUCAUAAAAAGAGCAUACAUGAAAGUUGGAGAUGAAGUAAAACAAAUGAUAAAAAGAAUAUGCAUCAUGUUGGAGUUUUAUAUGUUUGCACAUUAAAUAAAAUAAUAAGGAUAAUAACAAUGAGAUAAUAAUUCUAAAGGUUGGAUCAAACCCUAAAUGGAAAUUAGAGUUUGGAAAUAAGGAAAAAAAGAAGGGAUAUAAAAAUAUAUAUAUAUAUAUAUAUAUAUAAAUAAAUAUAUUCAGAAUUAAUAUCCCUAAUUUCACAAAUAUAAGUUGAAGUGGUGAGCCAUAGAAGUUUGAAUUUAAGUUUGAAUUCAAAUUUAACUUGGAAAUGGAGAAAAGAAAAUAGAAAAUAAAAUGGAAAAAGAUUAAAACCUUGCCUGGGCCUCGGAUUUCCCCUUUCGGCCCAACUGCAGAAGCACUCGCGCGGCCCACUCUAUUCCCUCCCCUUUUUCUUUUUCCACCGCAAAACUGACGCGUGGGCCCCCUGGCUAAGAGACCCUGAGCGCUUGGGCGAGACUGCUCCAGCGUGCGGACUUGUCUUCCAGUCCCCGCUGCCAUGUGGGUCCCGGUGGACAGCUUCUUCCUCUUCAACGAUCGACCGAAGUGCCCGCUGCGAAAUGUGGAUGGCGCAACGGAUUUCGCCGACCAUGGUGGGCCCGCUCCGUCGGUUGCUCAUCUGUAACACCAUAAAAAUCAUCAAAUAAAAGUAAUAAAUUUAGUUACUAAAGGUAAUUAUGGUAAUAAAUUUUAUUUUAAGUGGUUGUCAUUUAUUUGCCUUUGGAAUGAUUUUUGAUUGCCCAUAAUUGAUUUUUGAAUGUUUAAUAGCAUUUCUUCUUAAUUGAAAAUCCAAAUAAGUAAUUUAAUAAAUAUUAGUCCAAAAAUUAAUAUUUUAUUUAUAAAUAAUUUUAGUUUAAUUAUUAUGAAUUUUAUGAUUACAUGAAUAGGUAUUUCGAAAUUAGAAAAAAAAACCAAAAACACUAAGCCGGCCCAAGGCCCAUUAGGCCGCGCCCCUCCCUAACCCUAGGAGCCGGCCACGCCGCUCCUUCUUCCCUUGGCAGCCGCCGCCCCUGCUUCUCCUCUCCCACUCGGCUCUCUCUCUCUCUCCCACCGGCCCUUCUCUCUCCAUCCCUCCUCUCCUUCUCUCUGAGCCGUGCAUCGAGCCCGCCCAGGAGCCGACGAAGCCUGACGUGCCCAGCUGCCGUGCACCGACACGCCCGCGACGCACAGGCCGAAGCCCGACCGCGCCGUGCCGUGCGAGCUGAGCGCCCUGCACGCCGGCCGGACCCGAAGCCGCGCCCGCCAGGAACCCCAGGAACCCAACGUGAAGCCCCGCCGCCAGCCCGAUGCCGACCGCGCCGAGGACCGAAGUGCCGCCCGCGACAGAGCCAAAGUUCGAUGCCCGAGCCGCGACACCAAGCGACCCCGCGGCAUCCGUUUCCCCUGCGUUGAGCUUCAAUGUGUCCGUUCGUCGUCCCGACAUUAAUGAAGUUUCAAUGCCGCCGUUACCUCUCUCCAUUGAUGCGUCAUGAAGAACCCGCCGACGCCACUGACCCCCGGUCGUCUCUUCCUCUCCCUCCCUCUCCCUAUAAAAUCCGGGACUCCCUUCCUCUCUUCCUCCCCGAGCUCCUCUCUCCCUUCUCCCACAGCCGAGUUGCCUCUCUCUCUCACUGUUACUCGCCGUCGAUCGCCGUCACCGGAACUAGUCUGCACAGCACCCCGCCACCCGCAGCAACGCCACAUGCCCGUCGUCGAGCCCCUACCACAUGCCCGUCGUCGAGCCCCUGCUCGCGCUGUGCCCAGCUUGCCGUCGUGAACUCGUUGCCCCACCGUCCGAACGCAUCGCCGGAACUACGUCGUUCGCCGUCGACGCGACCACGCAGCACCCCGGCGACCGUACCCACGCCGUUCGCUGUCGUCCGUUCACACAAGGUUGAAGACAACACACUGAUUUAUUUUUCUAAAUCAUGUUUUGAAUCUUGCGAUUUAUUGUUGUAAUAUUAUGAUGAUGCGAUUUGGUGAUUCGUGUAUAAUUUUAGAGAUUUCGUUUUAUACGUGUAGUCAAAAUCAAACCCCGUGACCACGCUUUAAUAUGUGUAUGAUUUUAUAAUUUUAAAAAUGAGUACGAUCAUUAUUCACUACUUUAGUGAUUUUCAUACUCGAAUUGUUUAUAAUUGAUUUCGCUUUAGUAUGUGGAGCGAUAACCGGAUAGUAUUGAUAUAAGUAUAAUAGAAAUUAUGCCACAUAUUCCUAGUCAAAUAAAAAUAUAGAUUUUUCUAGUCAUGAUAAAUAUAAGCAUAACACUUAAUUACUUAGAAUUAGUAAAAUACUUGUUUAUGUCAUAAUAAUCUUGAAUAUGUUAUUAAAAGUCUAAUUAGUAAUUUACAAUAAAUUCUUAGAAUAUAAAUGUUAGAAGAAUUAUAAAUAAACAAUUCUUAGUUACACGUAUAAACUCUAUUUAGAAAAGAAAGGAAGAAAACCGAAAGGAUAGAAUUUAUAAUAAUUUAAUUAGACGCUCAUAUUUUUCUAAUAAAGAAAUUGAUAGUAUGUUGAUAUAAGGUUUCUUACUAAUGAGAUAUAUAAUUUAUUCUAAAUUAAAAAUGACCUUUUUAAUAGAUAUCAUAUUUAACAAGGUUCGUUAUAGAUAUUUAAGAAUAGACGUAUUAAAUAGAAACUUAAAAGUAAUAUGUCAUAUGACUUUUCUAAUUAUUAUAUAAUGGCUUAAUUAAGUGCUCACGUCGUUAUAACUAAAACAAUAGUUAAUAACAUACCAAUGAAUAUAAUAUUCAUAUUUAGAUCAUAUGUUUCUAAACUAAAUGUAAAUAAUAGAGUAAUUAUGUCCUCUCAUAAUCUAGUUAAUUAGAUUUAUAUUACAAAUUGUUCACAGCUGUUUAUAUAUGCUUAGUUAAUCAUUUAAUCAAACUUAGUCCAUAUUAUUUAUAUAUUUAUAUAUAUCACUUAGUUACCCUAAAGAAUAAACUAAUGAAAAUAGUGUUCAUGUUCUUUAAUAAUAAUUAAAAUGUUAGUUUAUAUAUUGUUUUAUGCAUAGCUUUCUUAAUAAGGAGUAUAGGACAUGUACUUUCUAAUUUCUAAUGAAACUAAAAGAUAGUGGCCUAUUCAUUGUCUUUUACAUAAAAGUUCAUUUAAAGCAUAUACCAUAACUUUCCAUAAAUAGGUGUUUAAUAAUAAUAAUGACCUUUUCACAUAAAACCUAUUUAGUCUUAUAUCUUAAUUUAUCAUAAGUGAAUGUUUAACAAUGAUUUAUAAUAUGCUCCAUAAUGCUUCUAAAAUUAAUAACGUGAUUAGUAGCCCAUUAACCUUAGAUAUAUAACUUAUAUCUAUUCUAAAAGGUUAAAAAUGUUUAAUAUCGUUAUAACGUGUUUAUCGUGUAUAAACCCUUAAUCUUAGACAUAUCACGUAUGACAUUUUAUAAAGGAUUAAUUUGGUGAAUCUAAUAUUUGUAUAUUUAAUUAAGAUAUUUUUAAGAUCAUGUCUUGUUUUAUAAAGUAUAGAUCACACAUUUUUGAAAAGAAUGCCCUCUUAUUAUAACCAUUACUUGCGACGUUUUUGAAAAGAAAAUACUCUUUUCGUUAGGCUUUCUUUUAGCUUUACGUAUGGUGAAUGUUGUAUGUUAUUGAGUGGUGUUUGUUCUUCUUGUUUGUUUGUGUGAUAUUCAGUGGUUGAUCUAAUAGUUGAGAAUCAAGUGCUAUUCCGUGGAAGAACCUCAAAUUUUCAAUAAGCAAGGCAAGUGGACUUCUCCCUCUGCAUACUCUGUUUGAUCCCAAACAGUACAUUUAAUAAAGUUUAUUCUUUUGGAUAUAUGUGCAUAAUUUGACGGGUUACCUAUUUAGAUAACCUUUCCAACCUUAUUCCUUGAUCAAACCUGGGAAGUAUACUUUACCUUCGUAGCUAUGCUAUUGCUACAACUUAACUUUAUGCGGUCACUCCCGCUUAUGAUAUUAAUGUUCCAAAUGGUAAGUUUACAUUAUUGUUGUUAACCCGAUGGUUAAACAAGAUUAUUGCAUAUUAAUUGGAACAUGGAGUGACCACCCGGGAAAACAGUGCUACCAUGAGAACUAUCAUGGCUCUGGUCUUGGCUAAAUAACUAGGGAAGUCUUAUGUUGGGUGUUGGUCGUGGUCGACCGGAACGGGGGCAUCUGGCAAGCGCUUAUAAUACCGGCUCAGGCAGAUUGGAUACGGGCAUAGUUCCCAAAGCUUUACCCUGUGGUCCGGACUAUAAGUUGGUUACGGUAGGUGUGCCUUAUGCAGUUUGACCAUUUCCAGCAUUUGCGUAAUGAGGACUCUAGGGAAAAGCCUCGUAGUGAGACCCUGGCCAUUCACCUCGGAAGUGAAAACGGGUCUAGCUAACCCGGGCUAGAAGGGAAUCGCGACUCAUGGGUAAAGAUGUGCCACCUCUGCAGAGUGUAAAACUGAUAUAUCAGCCGUGCUCACGGUUAUGAGCAGCCUGGACUCCUCACAUGAUAAUUGAACUUGAAGAUGGAAAUAAAUCGAGAUCCGAUGAUCUGCCAAUGGUUUGCUUAAGUGGUUUCACUUAAGUGUUUUUGAUAUACUCUUAUACCUUUGUUUAAUGGGAAUACUUGGGAUUCACACUUACUAGUAAGACAGGUGUUGUUAAUAAAAUGUUGACCAACUAAAAUGCUUACUGCUCAACCUUAGCCUCACCUUGUUAAACUUGCAUUAGUUUUUCCCCCACUUGCUGAGCCCCGACCAUAAGUGAGCUCACCCUUGCUUAAUUUUGAUCAGAAGUUGCAGAUGAAGAUAUGAUGUUGAGCUCCAUGGAUGCUAGUCUAGUGAUACCCCCGGUCAUCUUCCUGUGGAUGGAUGUCCAUGUUCGCUGUACUUUGAUGAAUAAAGGUUAAGACAUUAUGUCUGUUCGAAGUGUAAUAUGUUAAUAUAAUCUUAUUUACGCUUUUAUGCAUUGUUCUUUUGAUAUAUUACACUUGUGACGUCAACAUAUGUGUGGAAAUAGAUCCUGGCACACAUAUGCUAUGCACCCGGCUCUGCCCCUUGGAAACGGGUGUGACAGAAGUGGUAUCAAAGCAAUGUGACCGUAGGUCGCUAGAUUAGUUAGAAAUGGAAAACCCAGUCAGUCUUUCAAAGCCUGAUAUAUUUUCCUCCAUAAAAACUUACUUUAUAUCAAAACUCGUCUCUUUUAUCUUCAACUCUUCUUGUCUGAUUCUUCGUCUAUCAGAAGGUUCUAAUAAGAAGCAUUGCAAGAUGAUCAAGCUAGGAUUAUGGAACUUGAAGCGAAGUUUGCCAGAAGGAACCCUUUCAAAAGCUAUUGAAGAUGCCUCAUUCUCUAUCUUACCCUUACCCCCACAAGAAGUUUUGUUAUGGAUCUCUUGGAUCUAUUAUCAUUCUUCUUAGUUAGUUUGAUAGGAUAGUUCUAUAGUGCUAAGUUUUCGACUAGAUCGGUAAAGACGAUGUUAUAUUGUGGUUGUUUUCUAAUCCAUAAUAUUGUUAUAUAACCCUUGAUUUCUUCUACUCUUGUUUUCUUGCCAUUGUAUUGUCAUCCCUGGACAAUAUCUACCUUGAUAUAUUGAACCCUUUGUCUCUCUACUUCUCUCCUUGAUAAUGCUUUCUCCCUAUUGAAUUCUUAUACUUUUGCUUUCGUGCCAUUGUAUUGCCACCCUUGCGCAAUAUCUACCUUGAUGUAUGAAACCCUUGGCUCUUUACUCCUUGAUAAUGCUUUCUCCCUAACUCACUUUGUAUCCUUGGUUGUAUCAUUUAUCCUCACUUUAAUAGUUCAUGGUUAUCUUAUUUCACUCUUGGCCACCAACAAAUAUGUCUUGUCUAACUCCUUGAUAAUUCUUACCUGACUCCUUGAUGUUAUAAUAUCUUUCUUAUUCCAAACCUUGUCUCACCGUUUGAUUUGGUUGAAUGAGUAGAAUUGGAUUGUGUUGUGCUGGUAUGCUUGAGUUCAUUGUCCUUUGUGUUAGUGUUUGAUUUGCUUCUUUGAAAUGAUUGUUGGUGUAUUGUGUGACUUUUGUCCACAAUGACAUCAAUUAGCUAGGAAAAACCAUAGAUAGAUGAGUUUUCUCUGCUCUCUAUAAUCUGUCUUUACUCAACCCUUUCGUCCCUCCCAUUCUUCCAUACCCAUACAGAUGUCAGACCUUGGAAUGUCAACUGCAAGUGAUGUCACUAAGUGUAAAGAAUGCGGUGUGUUGGCAAGUCAAAACAACACUAUAAAUGAAACAGCUGAUGAACAGACCUUCAAGACACAAAAGGAUGAACAACCAAACCAACAAACAAGUGACCUUGGAACAUGUUGUUGUUGCGAGUACUAUGGAAUUCCUUGUCGCCAGAUCAGUACAAACGAAAGUGAAACUACAAAACAGAAGAACCGGAUUUUGUUUUCUGGCAUUAAAAGACAAAUGUCUCCCCAAGAACAAGUAAUAGCAGAGUCUCUCAUACCUAAUGCAUUGUCAGUUGAUGAAUUGCAAAGUAUUCCAAAAAGAAAGCAUCACAAGGAUGCCCAGCCACAAGAAGAAAUACAUGAGUGUUACAUUGAUGGAUGGACUAUUACUUGCACACAGUUUCAGCCUCGUCGUCGCAUCAGGUCCAAGAAACUAAAAGGAAAACAUGGAAAAAGUCAAGAAAUAACUUCAAGAAAAGCUUGCUAUCAAUGUGGACGUGAAGGUCAUUACUUCCGUAACUGUCCUGAGAAGAGUUCACUACAGAUCACCUCCGAGAUGAAGCUACCUCAGUUUUCAGACACGGAAUAUGAACAAAAAUGCAUAGAAACUUCUAUCAACAUAGUGAAGAACAACAAAAGGUAUAGAAAAACAUUUGGAUAUAUGAGUAGUCCACCUCAACCACAAGCAAAAGCCCCGAAACACAUGGAUACCCAAACCGAAGAAUCAAGUCAGACUCAGCUAUAUGAGAUACAGACACUCAAUCAACCCUCACCCCCGGUUGGUCAAGCAAAGUUGACUCGCAAAGAACUCAAGGCAAGAGGUGCUUGCUACUACUGCAAAAACGAAGGACAUCUUAUUCGUGAAUGCCCCAAGAAGCGUCUAGACCGAAUAAAGAAGAAAGCUGCCAAGCAUGACCUAAGCAAUACUUUAGAAGACCCACCAUUUUAUAAGUAUGAUGAUGAAGGACGCUUGAUUAGGGAGCAAAGAAGUAAGAAAGUUCCUUAAGUUUGGAGGAGUUCAAUGAGAACUAAGAACCUACAAAUAACCAUGUGCCUUCUUUGUUUUCUUGCUAGCCUUUCUUAAUCUCGAGGACGAGAUUCUCUUUUAAGAGGGGUAGAUUUGUAACACCAUAAAAAUCAUCAAAUAAAAGUAAUAAAUUUAGUUACUAAAGGUAAUUAUGGUAAUAAAUUUUAUUUUAAGUGGUUGUCAUUUAUUUGCCUUUGGAAUGAUUUUUGAUUGCCCAUAAUUGAUUUUUGAAUGUUUAAUAGCAUUUCUUCUUAAUUGAAAAUCCAAAUAAGUAAUUUAAUAAAUAUUAGUCCAAAAAUUAAUAUUUUAUUUAUAAAUAAUUUUAGUUUAAUUAUUAUGAAUUUUAUGAUUACAUGAAUAGGUAUUUCGAAAUUAGAAAAAAAAACCAAAAACACUAAGCCGGCCCAAGGCCCAUUAGGCCGCGCCCCUCCCUAACCCUAGGAGCCGGCCACGCCGCUCCUUCUUCCCUUGGCAGCCGCCGCCCCUGCAUCUCCUCUCCCACUCGGCUCUCUCUCUCUCCCACCGGCCCUUCUCUCUCCAUCCCUCCUCUCCUUCUCUCUGAGCCGUGCAUCGAGCCCGCCCAGGAGCCGACGAAGCCUGACGUGCCCAGCUGCCGUGCACCGACACGCCCGCGACGCACAGGCCGAAGCCCGACCGCGCCGUGCCGUGCGAGCUGAGCGCCCUGCACGCCGGCCGGACCCGAAGCCACGCCCACCAGGAACCCCAGGAACCCAACGUGAAGCCCCGCCGCCAGCCCGAUGCCGACCGCGCCGAGGACCGAAGUGCCGCCCGCGACAGAGCCAAAGUCCGAUGCCCGAGCCGCGACACCAAGCGACCCCGCGGCAUCCGUUUCCCCUACGUUGAGCUUCAAUGUGUCCGUUCGUCGUCCCGACAUUAAUGAAGUUUCAAUGCCGCCGUUACCUCUCUCCAUUGAUGCGUCAUGAAGAACCCGCCGACGCCACUGACCCCCGGUCGUCUCUUCCUCUCCCUCCCUCUCCCUAUAAAAUCCGGGACUCCCUUCCUCUCUUCCUCCCCGAGCUCCUCUCUCCCUUCUCCCACAGCCGAGUUGCCUCUCUCUCUCACUGUUACUCGCCGUCGAUCGCCGUCACCGGAACUAGUCUGCACAGCACCCCGCCACCCGCAGCAACGCCACAUGCCCGUCGUCGAGCCCCUGCCACAUGCCCGUCGUCGAGCCCCUGCCACAUGCCCGUCGUCGAGCCCCUGCUCGCGCUGUGCCCAGCUUGUCGUCGUGAACUCGUUGCCCCACCGUCCGAACGCAUCGCCGGAACUACGUCGUUCGCCGUCGACGCGACCACGCAGCACCCCGGCGACCGUACCCACGCCGUUCGCUGUCGUCCGUUCACACAAGGUUGAAGACAACACACUGAUUUAUUUUUCUAAAUCAUGUUUUGAAUCUUGCGAUUUAUUGUUGUAAUAUUAUGAUGAUGCGAUUUGGUGAUUCGUGUAUAAUUUUAGAGAUUUUGUUUUAUACGUGUAGUCAAAAUCAAACCCCGUGACCACGCUUUAAUAUGUGUAUGAUUUUAUAAUUUUAAAAAUGAGUACGAUCAUUAUUCACUACUUUAGUGAUUUUCAUACUCGAAUUGUUUAUAAUUGAUUUCGCUUUAGUAUGUGGAGCGAUAACCGGAUAGUAUUGAUAUAAGUAUAAUAGAAAUUAUGCCACGUAUUCCUAGUCAAAUAAAAAUAUAGAUUUUUCUAGUCAUGAUAAAUAUAAGCAUAACACUUAAUUACUUAGAAUUAGUAAAAUACUUGUUUAUGUCAUAAUAAUCUUGAAUAUGUUAUUAAAAGUCUAAUUAGUAAUUUACAAUUAAUUCUUAGAAUAUAAAUGUUAGAAGAAUUAUAAAUAAACAAUUCUUAGUUACACGUAUAAACUCUAUUUAGAAAAGAAAGGAAGAAAACCGAAAGGAUAGAAUUUAUAAUAAUUUAAUUAGACGCUCAUAUUUUUCUAAUAAAGAAAUUGAUAGUAUGUUGAUAUAAGGUUUCUUACUAAUGAGAUAUAUAAUUUGUUCUAAAUUAAAAAUGACCUUUUUAAUAGAUAUCAUAUUUAACAAGGUUCGUUAUAGAUAUUUAAGAAUAGACGUAUUAAAUAGAAACUUAAAAGUAAUAUGUCAUAUGACUUUUCUAAUUAUUAUAUAAUGGCUUAAUUAAGUGCUCACGUCGUUAUAACUAAAACAAUAGUUAAUAACAUACCAAUGAAUAUAAUAUUCAUAUUUAGAUCAUAUGUUUCUAAACUAAAUGUAAAUAAUAGAGUAAUUAUGUCCUCUCAUAAUCUAGUUAAUUAGAUUUAUAUUACAAAUUGUUCACAGCUGUUUAUAUAUGCUUAGUUAAUCAUUUAAUCAAACUUAGUCCAUAUUAUUUAUAUAUUUAUAUAUAUCACUUAGUUCCCCUAAAGAAUAAACUAAUGAAAAUAGUGUUCAUGUUCUUUAAUAAUAAUUAAAAUGUUAGUUUAUAUAUUGUUUUAUGCAUAGCUUUCUUAAUAAGGAGUAUAGGACAUGUACUUUCUAAUUUCUAAUGAAACUAAAAGAUAGUGGCUUAUUCAUUGUCUUUUACAUAAAAGUUCAUUUAAAGCAUAUACCAUAACUUUCCAUAAAUAGGUGUUUAAUAAUAAUAAUGACCUUUUCACAUAAAACCUAUUUAGACUUAUAUCUUAAUUUAUCAUAAGUGAAUGUUUAACAAUGAUUUAUAAUAUGCUCCAUAAUGCUUCUAAAAUUAAUAACGUGAUUAAUAGCCCAUUAACCUUAGAUAUAUAACUUAUAUCUAUUCUAAAAGGUUAAAAAUGUUUAAUAUCGUUAUAACGUGUUUAUCGUGUAUAAACCCUUAAUCUUAGACAUAUCACGUAUGACGUUUUAUAAAGGAUUAAUUUGGUGAAUCUAAUAUUUGUAUAUUUAAUUAAGAUAUUUUUAAGAUCAUGUCUUGUUUUAUAAAGUAUAGAUCACACAUUUUUGAAAAGAAUGCCCUCUUAUUAUAACCAUUACUUGCGACGUUUUUGAAAAGAAAAUACUCUUUUCGUUAGGCUUUCUUUUAGCUUUACGUAUGGUGAAUGUUGUAUGUUAUUGAGUGGUGUUUGUUCUUCUUGUUUGUUUGUGUGAUAUUCAGUGGUUGAUCUAAUAGUUGAGAAUCAAGUGCUAUUCCGUGGAAGAACCUCAAAUUUUCAAUAAGCAAGGCAAGUGGACUUCUCCCUCUGCAUACUCUGUUUGAUCCCAAACAGUACAUUUAAUAAAGUUUAUUCUUUUGGAUAUAUGUGCAUAAUUUGACGGGUUACCUAUUUAGAUAACCUUUCCAACCUUAUUCCUUGAUCAAACCUGGGAAGUAUACUUUACCUUCGUAGCUAUGCUAUUGCUACAACUUAACUUUAUGCAGUCACUCCCGCUUAUGAUAUUAAUGUUCCAAAUGGUAAGUUUACAUUAUUGUUGUUAACCCGAUGGUUAAACAAGAUUAUUGCAUAUUAAUUGGAACAUGGAGUGACCACCCGGGAAAACAGUGCUACCAUGAGAACUAUCAUGGCUCUGGUCUUGGCUAAAUAACUAGGGAAGUCUUAUGUUGGGUGUUGGUCGUGGUCGACCGGAACGGGGGCAUCUGGCAAGCGCUUAUAAUACCGGCUCAGGCAGAUUGGAUACGGGCAUAGUUCCCAAAGCUUUACCCUGUGGUCCGGACUAUAAGUUGGUUACGGUAGGUGUGCCUUAUGCAGUUUGACCAUUUCCAGCAUUUGCGUAAUGAGGACUCUACGGAAAAGCCUCGUAGUGAGACCCUGGCCAUUCACCUCGGAAGUGAAAACGGGUCUAGCUAACCCGGGCUAGAAGGGAAUCGCGACUCAUGGGUAAAGAUGUGCCACCUCUGCAGAGUGUAAAACUGAUAUAUCAGCCGUGCUCACGGUUAUGAGCAGCCUGGACUCCUCACAUGAUAAUUGAACUUGAAGAUGGAAAUAAAUCGAGAUCCGAUGAUCUGCCAAUGGUUUGCUUAAGUGGUUUCACUUAAGUGUUUUUGAUAUACUCUUAUACCUUUGUUUAAUGGGAAUACUUGGGAUUCACACUUACUAGUAAGACAGGUGUUGUUAAUAAAAUGUUGACCAACUAAAAUGCUUACUGCUCAACCUUAGCCUCACCUUGUUAAACUUGCAUUAGUUUUUCCCCCACUUGCUGAGCCCCGACCAUAAGUGAGCUCACCCUUGCUUAAUUUUGAUCAGAAGUUGCAGAUGAAGAUAUGAUGCUGAGCUCCAUGGAUGCUAGUCUAGUGAUACCCCCGGUCAUCUUCCUGUGGAUGGAUGUCCAUGUUCGCUGUACUUUGAUGAAUAAAGGUUAAGACAUUAUGUCUGUUCGAAGUGUAAUAUGUUAAUAUAAUCUUAUUUACGCUUUUAUGCAUUGUUCUUUUGAUAUAUUACACUUGUGACGUCAACAUAUGUGUGGAAAUAGAUCCUGGCACACAUAUGCUAUGCACCCGGCUCUGCCCCUUGGAAACGGGUGUGACAUCAUCUGCGCCUAAACACCAUCAUGUGGGGCCCAGGGCGCAGCGUCUUCACCUAUCCUUUCUUCUCGCCGUAGUUCGCGGAAUCGCGGUGAGCCGGGAGACUCGGGUGAGGCUGUUGCACGCGGUGCAUGCGAGCAUGCACCAUCCUCCAUUGACCGAGAUAAAAGGGACACCGGGACUACCCCCUCGAGGCCUAUCAGCUCCAUCCACCCAGACCGCGACGCGCAGAGUACAGGCGCCGCCGCGCGGAAGUGAGUCGAACCGAGUGCGCCGCCACCGGAGAUUCCCCUUCGUGACUGCGCUCGGAUCCGCACUGGUGGUCGAAGACGUUCGCCGGGAAGCAGUGAAGCUGCAGGAGCCCUCAAGUCGAGCUGAGAGCCACGAGGAACACGGGAAUUCCUCGACGGAGGAGUUCUGCCGCCACAAAUCCGCCUCCUCCCGUGGACCGACACCAUCGUAGCGCCUUCGUCGGUGAGAUACCCCUUUCCGUAAUCGCCAUCACCCCCUCUACGGUUGGCACCGAUCAAUUUCAAGGUUGGGGCGUCCAGGCUUCGAAUUGCAAGUCCGCGGCGAUGCUCCGCCAUGUCGCUGUGAUGCGCCGCCGCGGCGUGGGCGAGAUUGGGGAAAACGAUGCUAGCCGUAGGAUGGGGUAUCGACGAUCCAGAUUAGAAACCGGGGUUCGGCUAAUCGGGAAUCGUGGAUGCAGGAUCUAAGGGCGCAGAUUCGAUCUGGGGUUGGGGCACCGUGGUCCGUCGAUCUUAGAUCGGGUGGAUCCUGUCGCGUACCGUUUCGGGUUAAGUUAGAUGUAAUCUGAGCCGUCCGCACUGGAUCGUGUGGCCCAGAUGUGUGGAUACCCUUUCGGCUCUGGAAUCUUACUAAAGAGUCCCUGGGCAAUUUAAUAAUAAACCCGCCGUCCACCCUGACUGUACUCAGAGUCUUAGGAAUUUUUACGCGCCAGCCCCUGCACUUCUCUGUAUUUGAGGCCCGAUCCAGAAACUUGGGAAAAUAGGAAAUUAAUAUUAGAAAUCGAUUUUUAAUACAAAAAUAAAUCUAGAAACUUGUUUAAUUCAUAGAAAAUGCACAUGAACUCCAAAUUGGUCCAUUCCAGUUUCUAAAAUUUUGUAAUAAUAUUCUCUAUCACCUGGUGUCUCUGUUUUGACAUGAAAACAGUUAGAAAAUUAAUUUAUCAUUUAAUCCUAUUUCAAGCACAUUAAACCUUAAGAAAUUCAUAACUUGAAUUCUAUAACUCCAAAUUUAAUGAUUCCAGUUCCAGUGAUCUUAUUUUAAUGUCUAGUUUAUUACUGUGUAUUUUAUUUAUAUGUUUGGUGUAAUGUUAAUUUAUGCUAUGCUAUGUAUGUAUUGUGUUGAUGCGAGUAGACGAGCAAACCACAGUGGAAUCUGAGGUUCAACAAGUUGAGACAGCUGAGCAGGAGCUCGUUGAAGGCAAGUUGUGCCCUUGAUCACUUCUUUUACCCAUUCAUGUUCUUAUUAAUCAUAAUGAUCUGCAUAGGUUAAUUUUGUUGGGACCCAAUAGGUUACCCUAGAUUUGACUAUCUUUAUACCUUGUUUCACCACUGGUUUUACUACUAAAUUUUUGGGUAGUACAUGUUAUUGCUUUAUGUGGAUUUGGGUAUAAAGAUAUUUAUGACUCAUGAUUACACUUUCUAUUAUCUGUUCAUUAUUUUAUGUUCAUGAUAAGAUCAUUAUGUUAAUGGGAACAUGGAGAACCACCCGGGAAAACAGUGCUACCACAAGGGUUUAAUGGGACGCCCUUGGCUGAUUAACUAGGAAAGCUAGUGGAGGGCUACCUUACCCGAAAGGGGCAAGGGCAGUAGGGGAGUGGUCAGUGUAGGGAGGUCCUUGGGUUGAUUUUGCUGCGAUGGCGGUCAGGCAAGAACUCUGCACUGGAGCUUCCUAUAAACUGUAGCGGGUAGUCUGAAGCUGGUGGAACUUUGUAAAGGCCUCGUAGUGGUACCCUGCCUCGCUUCCUUGGUAGAGGUGUAUAGAGUCUAAUCAACUCCGUGGCAAAUGGGUAACACGACUUGUGGGUAAAGAUGCGCAACCUCUGCAGAGUGUAAAACUGGUAUACUAGUCGUGCUCACGGUCAUGAGCGGCUCGGACACUCACAUGAUUAAUUAUGGAACUUAAAUUUAAUUUGACAUUUGCAUUGCAUUUGGGAUUAUUUUACUAUUACUUUUCUUUAUUAUUAUUAAGGUUUGGUAUUUACUUACACUUAGUAAUUGCUAAUAAAAUUUUGACCAACUUAUAAAAGCAAUGCUCAGCCUCAACCUUUAUCUCAUUGAUCAGCCUUACACUUCAUGAACUCCCACCUUUGGUGAGUUCAUGCCACAUUGUUCCCCACGACUUGUUGAGCUAUGAACUUAUGUGAGCUCACUCUUGCUGUCUCACACCCCCCCAUAGGAGAAGAACAGGUGGUUCAGGAGGAGCCACAAUGCGAGGAGUUUGAUCUAAUCUAGGUGGCGUUUCUCAGUUGACAUUUGCGCCGACGAUCCUUAGUUCGUUUUAUAUUCAUUAUUUUAUUUUGUAAUAAGUCUUCCGCUAUGUAAUAAAUACUCUGAUGUUUUAUGACAUUUAUCUCUAUACACUCUGUUAUUGUAUAUGUUGUCUUCUUGGCGCAUGUAUGAGAUGCACCCGGCUUUGUUCCUUUAAAACCGGGUGUUACAGGUUCCCCACGUGCGUCCGUGACGUCGAUGGUUCUCAGCUCCCUACGGAAGUGAAAGGGAAAUGUGCCCUUAGGCCAUUUCUAAAGUAUUUUGGUGAUUGAGUGCCAACACAAGUGCUUAAUUGUGAAUCUAUGCCCAUGGAUGAACAAAGUGCAAAUCAAGAGCAAAGGUAUGUUUCUAAGUCUUAGUACAUUGGUUUUGUGUACUAAUAUACUUGUCUAAGUAUCAGAAACAGAAAGAAGAAGAAAAGAGAAGAGUUGGCUGUGUACAGCCAAGAGGCUGUUUCGGUCUGGGGCACCGGACUGUCCGGUGGUGCACCGGACAGUGUCCGGUGCGCCAGGCUGCCUCAAGCGAAGUGGCCGCUCUCGGGAAUCUGCCGACGGCGUACGGCUAAAAUUCACCGGACUGUCCGGUGUGCACCGGACUGUCCGGUGAGCCAACGGUCGGCCGGGCCAACGGUCGGCCGCGCGAUCCGCGCGGGACACGUGGCCGAGCCAACGGCUAGAAGGGGGCACCGGACUGUCCGGUGCGCCAACGGCUCCCGCAUCUGCAACGGUCGGCUGCGCUGUUUAAGGAAGGAAAUCGGGCACCGGACAGUGUCCGGUGUGCACCGGACUGUCCGGUGCGCCCGACGACAGAAGGCAAGGAUGGCCUUCCAGAAUUGUUCUCAACGGCUCCUAGCUGCCUUGGGGCUAUAAAAGGGACCCCUAGGCGCAUGGAGGAGUACACCAAGUAUUCCUACAACAUUCCUAAGCACCAAGACAUCGAUUCCACGCAUUUGGUUCAUUGUGAUAGCAUCUAGAGCUCUUGUUGAGUUGUGAACUCAUUGAGUUGUGUUGCGAGCUCUUGUUGCGACUUGUGUGCGUGUUGUUGCUCUGAUCUUUUGAAGUCUUGUGUGCGUUGCUCAUUCCCCCCUUACUCCGUAUUUCUUUGUGAAUCUCAAGUGUAAGGGCGAGAGACUCCAAGUUGUGGAGAUUCCUCGCAAACGGGAUAUUGAAAGGCAAAGCAAAACACCGUGGUAUUCAAGUUGGUCUUUGGACCGCUUGAGAGGGGUUGAUUGCAACCCUCGUCCAUUGGGACGCCACAACGUGGAGUAGGCAAGCGUUGGUCUUGGCCGAACCACGGGAUAAACCACUGUGUCAUCUGUGUGUUUGAUCUCUUGUGGUAUUGUGUUUUGUUGAGACUCAUCUCUAGCCACUUGGCAAUUAUUGUGCUGACACUUAACAAGUUUUUGUGGCUAUAAGUUUAAGUUUUACAGGAUCACCUAUUCACCCCCCCUCUAGGUGCUCUCAAUUGGUAUCAGAGCCGUUCUCUUCAAGAAAGGGACUAACCGCCCGAAGAGAUGGAUCCUAAGGGCAAGGGGAUGGUGAUCAACGACAAGGAUAAGGAGACCUUCGUCAACGAGCUCAAUGAUGACAAGCCCACCGACUCAGGCUCGGGCCACAAAAGAAAAGACGGGAGGAAGAAGAAGACAAGGCGCAUCAAGGAAAUUGUCUACUACGACAGCGACGAAUCUUCCUCCUCCCAAAAGGACGACGACGACCACGAUAGACGAAAGACGGUUAACUCAAACUUUUCUUUCGAUUAUUCGCGCAUCCCGCAUAGUUCAAAUGCUCAAUUGCUCCCCAUUCCACUUGGCAAGCCCCCUCACUUUGAUGGAGAGGACUACGGAUUUUGGAGCCACAAAAUGCGUACUCACCUGUUUUCUCUCCACCCAAGCAUUUGGGAGAUUGUGGAAAGUGGAAUGAAAUUUGAUAGCUCGGAUAGCCUAUGUUUAUUAAUGAACAGAUUCAUAAAAAUGCACAAGCUACUACUGUGUUGCUAGCCUCUUUGUGCAGGGACGAGUAUCACAAGGUGAGCGGCUUGGACAAUGCCAAGCAGAUCUGGGACACCCUCAAGAUCUCUCAUGAGGGAAACGAUGUCACCUUACUCACCAAAAUGGAGUUGGUGGAAGGCGAGCUUGGACGGUUCGCGAUGAUAAGGGGCGAGGAGCCGACACAAACAUACAACCGGCUCAAGACCCUUAUCAACAAAAUAAGGAGCUACGGGAGCACGCGAUGGACGGACCACGACGUCGUCCGCCUAAUGCUAAGGUCAUUUACCGUUCUUGAUCCUCAUUUGGUGAACAAUAUUCGUGAAAAUCCCAGGUACACCAAAAUGUCGCCCGAAGAAGUUCUUGGGAAAUUCGUUAGCGGGCGAAUGAUGAUCAAGGAGGCGAGGUACGUGGACGACGCCUUGAAUGGUCCGAUCAACGAGCCGCAACCCCUUGCUCUCAAGGCAACACGAAGCAAGGAGGCGCUACCUAGCAAGGUGGCACAGAUUGAGGCGGCCGGACUUAAUGAUGAAGAGAUGGCUCUCAUCAUCAAAAGAUUCAAGACGGUGCUUAAAGAUCGCAAGGGACAGCCAAGCAAGACCAAAGCCAAGGGGAAGCGCUCAUGCUUCAAAUGCGGUAAGCUUGGUCAUUUUAUUGCUAACUGUCCCGACAAUGAUAGUGACCAGGAACACGGGAGCAAGAGGGAAAAGAAGAAGCAUUACAAGAAGGCCAAGGGCGAGGCACAUAUCGGAAAGGAGUGGGAUUCGGAUUGCUCCUCCUCCGACUCCGACAAUGAAGGACUCGCCGCCACUGCCUUCAACAAGUCAUCCCUCUUCCCCAACGAGCGUCACACAUGCCUUAUGGCAAGGGAGAAGAAGGUAUGUAAUCAAAACAAUGUCACUUAUGAUUCUUCCAGUGAUGAUGAGUCUAGUGAUGAUGAAAUAGAUUACUCUAGUUUGUUCAAGGGAUUGGAUAGAACUAAAGUAGAUAAAAUUAAUGAAUUGAUUGAUGCCUUGAAUGAAAAAGAUAGACUCUUAGAAAAACAAGAGGACCUUUUGUAUGAAGAGCACGACAAAUUUGUAGAGGCACAAAAGUCUUAUGCAUUAGAAGUUAAAAGAAAUGAAGUACUUUCUAGUGAACUAUCUUCUUGUCAUGAAACCAUUGCUACUUUAAAGAGUGUUAAUGAUGACUUAAAUGCCAAACUAGAAGUAGCUAGUAAAUCUAAUUCUUGUGUAGAACAUGUUGAGAUCUGCACUAGGUGUAAAGAUUUCGAUGUUGAUGCUUGUAGUGAUCAUUCAGUUUCAAUUUCUAAAUUAACUGAGGAAUUAGCUAGUCUUAAUGCCCAACUUAAGACUAGCAAGAAUGAAUUUGAUAAACUAAAAUUUGCAAGGGAUGCCUACACGAUCGGUAGACACCCCUCAAUUAAGGAUGGACUUGGCUUCAAGAGGGAAGCCAAGAACUUAACAAGCCAUAAGGCUCCCAUUCCCGCUAAGGAGAAAGGGAAGGCCCCUAUGGCUACUAGUGAUAAAAAGAACCAUGCCUUUUUGUAUCAUGAUAGGAGACAAACUAGAAAUGCUUAUAGGAGUUAUAAUACGUACGAUGAUUUUUCUCAUGCUAUGUUUGCUUCUAGUUCUUCAUAUGUGCAUGAUAGAAAUGUUGGUAGAAGGGAUGUUGUUCAUAAUAUUCCUAGGAGAAAUGUUGUUAAUAUUCCUAGGAAAGUUAAUGAGCCUUCUACAAUAUAUCAUGCUUUGAAUGCUUCCUUUGCAAUUUGUCGAAAGGAUAGAAAGGUAAUUGCUAGGAAGUUAGGGGCAAGAUGCAAGGGAGACAAAACUUGCAUUUGGGUCCCUAAGAAUAUUUGUGCUAACCUUGUAGGACCCAACAUGAGUUGGGUACCUAAAACCCAAGCCUAAAUUUGCCUUGCAGGUUUAUGCAUCCGGGGGUUCAAGCUGGAUUAUCGACAGCGGAUGCACAAACCAUAUGACGGGGGAGAAGAAGAUGUUCACCUCCUACGUCAAGAAUAAGGAUUCCCAAGAUUCAAUAAUAUUCGGUGAUGGGAAUCAAGGCAAGGUAAAAGGGUUAGGUAAAAUUGCAAUCUCAAAUGAGCACUCUAUAUCUAAUGUGUUUUUAGUAGAGUCUCUUGGAUAUAAUUUGCUAUCUGUUAGUCAAUUAUGCAAUAUGGGUUAUAAUUGUCUUUUUACAAAUGUAGAUGUGUCUGUCUUUAGAAGAAGUGAUGGUUCACUAGCCUUUAAGGGUGUAUUAGACGGCAAGCUCUACUUAGUUGAUUUUGCAAAAGAAGAGGCCGGUCUAGAUGCAUGCUUAAUUGCUAAGACUAGCAUGGGUUGGCUGUGGCAUCGCCGCUUAGCACAUGUGGGGAUGAAGAAUCUUCACAAGCUUCUAAAGGGAGAACACGUGAUAGGUUUGACUAACGUACAAUUCGAAAAAGAUAGACCUUGUGCAGCUUGUCAGGCAGGUAAACAGGUGGGAGGAGCGCAUCACAGCAAGAAUGUGAUGACCACAUCAAGACCCCUGGAGCUGCUACAUAUGGACCUCUUCGGACCCGUUGCCUAUCUAAGCAUAGGAGGAAGUAAGUAUGGUUUAGUUAUUAUUGAUGACUUUUCCCGCUUCACUUGGGUGUUCUUUUUGCAGGAUAAGUCUGAAACCCAAGGGACCCUCAAGCGCUUCCUCAGGAGAGCUCAAAAUGAGUUUGAGCUCAAGGUGAAGAAGAUAAGGAGCGACAACGGGUCCGAGUUCAAGAACCUUCAAGUGGAGGAGUUCCUUGAGGAGGAAGGGAUCAAGCACGAGUUCUCCGCUCCCUACACACCACAGCAAAAUGGUGUGGUAGAGAGAAAGAACAGGACGCUAAUCGACAUGGCGAGGACGAUGCUUGGAGAAUUCAAGACCCCCGAGCGUUUUUGGUCGGAAGCCGUGAACACGGCUUGCCACGCCAUCAACAGGGUCUACCUUCAUCGCCUCCUCAAGAAGACUUCGUAUGAGCUACUAACCGGUAACAAACCCAAUGUAUCUUACUUUCGUGUAUUUGGGAGCAAGUGCUACAUUCUAGUGAAGAAGGGUAGAAAUUCUAAAUUUGCUCCCAAAGCUGUAGAAGGGUUUUUGUUAGGUUAUGACUCAAAUACAAAGGCGUAUAGAGUCUUCAACAAAUCAUCGGGUUUGGUUGAAGUCUCUAGCGACGUUGUAUUUGAUGAGACUAAUGGCUCUCCAAGAGAGCAAGUUGUUGAUUUUGAUGAUGUAGAUGAAGAAGAUGUUCCGACGGCCGCUAUACGAACCAUGGCGAUUGGAGAAGUGCGGCCACAGGAACAAUAUGAACGAGAUCAAUCUUCUUCCUCAACAACGGUGCAUCCCCCACCUCAAGAUGAUGAACAGGUUCAUCAAAAGGAGGCGUGUGAUCAAGGGGGAGCACAAGAUGAUCACGUGAUGGAGGAAGAAGCGCAACCGGCACCUCCAACCCAAGUUCGAGCGGUGAUUCAAAGGGAUCAUCCCGUCGACCAAAUUUUGGGUGACAUUAGCAAGGGAGUAACUACUCGAUCUCGAUUAGUUAAUUUUUGUGAGCAUUACUCCUUUGUCUCUUCUAUUGAGCCUUUCAGGGUAGAGGAGGCCUUGCUAGAUCCGGAUUGGGUAUUGGCCAUGCAGGAGGAACUCAACAACUUCAAGCGCAAUGAAGUUUGGACACUGGUGCCUCGUCCCAAGCUAAAUGUUGUGGGAACCAAGUGGGUGUUCCGCAACAAACAGGACGAGCACGGGGUGGUGACGAGGAACAAGGCUCGACUUGUGGCAAAAGGUUAUGCCCAAGUCGCAGGUUUGGACUUUGAGGAGACUUUUGCUCCUGUGGCUAGGCUAGAGUCAAUUCGCAUCUUGCUAGCAUAUGCCGCUCACCAUUCUUUCAGGUUGUACCAAAUGGAUGUGAAGAGCGCUUUCCUCAACGGGCCGAUCAAGGAGGAGGUGUACGUGGAGCAACCCCCUGGCUUCGAGGAUGAACGGUACCCCGACCACGUGUGUAAGCUCUCUAAGGCGCUCUAUGGACUUAAGCAAGCCCCAAGAGCAUGGUAUGAAUGCCUUAGAGACUUUUUAAUUGCUAAUGCUUUCACGGUUGGGAAAGCCGAUCCAACUCUUUUUACUAAGACAUAUGAUGGUGAUUUGUUUGUGUGCCAAAUUUAUGUCGAUGACAUAAUAUUUGGUUCUACUAACCAAAAGUCUUGUGAAGAGUUUAGCAGGGUGAUGACGCAGAAAUUCGAGAUGUCGAUGAUGGGCGAGUUGAACUACUUCCUUGGGUUCCAAGUGAAGCAACUCAAGGACGGCACCUUCAUCUCCCAAACGAAGUACACACAAGAUUUGCUAAAGAGGUUUGGGAUGAAGGACGCCAAGCCCGCAAAGACGCCGAUGGGAACCGAUGGACACACCGACCUCAACAAAGGUGGUAAGUCCGUUGAUCAAAAAGCAUACCGGUCCAUGAUAGGGUCUUUACUUUAUUUAUGUGCUAGUAGACCGGAUAUUAUGCUUAGCGUAUGCAUGUGUGCUAGAUUUCAAUCCGAUCCUAAGGAGUGUCACUUAGUGGCGGUGAAGCGAAUUCUUAGAUAUUUGGUUGCUACGCCUUGCUUCGGGCUCUGGUAUCCAAAGGGGUCUACCUUUGACUUGGUUGGAUACUCAGAUUCCGACUAUGCUGGAUGUAAGGUCGAUAGGAAGAGUACAUCAGGGACGUGCCAAUUCUUAGGAAGGUCCCUGGUGUCGUGGAACUCUAAGAAACAAACCUCCGUUGCCCUAUCCACCGCUGAGGCCGAGUAUGUUGCCGCAGGACAGUGUUGCGCGCAACUACUUUGGAUGAGGCAAACCCUCCGGGACUUUGGCUACAAUCUGAGCAAAGUCCCACUCCUAUGUGAUAAUGAGAGUGCUAUCCGCAUGGCGGAAAAUCCUGUUGAACACAGCCGCACAAAGCACAUAGACAUCCGGCAUCACUUUUUGAGAGACCACCAGCAAAAGGGAGAUAUCGAAGUGUUUCAUGUUAGCACCGAGAACCAGCUAGCCGAUAUCUUUACCAAGCCUCUAGAUGAGAAGACCUUUUGCAGGUUGCGUAGUGAGCUAAAUGUCUUAGAUUCGCGGAACUUGGAUUGAAGUGUAGCAUACAUGUGUUUAUGCCUUAUGAUCAUGUUCCUUUUUGCAUUUUGUUGCUUAUUGUGGUGCUCAAGUUGUACAAACAUUCUCUGGACCUCACAAGUCCUUGUGUAAGUGAUGCACAUAUUUAGGGGGAGUUGUGUUACAACUUGACCCUUUUGAGACUAACCAUAUGCUUGAGUUUGCGUUAUUUAGUCUCGAAGGAGAAUUGAAAGGGAAAAGGUGGACUUGGACCAUGAAAGACUUCCACUGCACUCCGAUGAGAGGGUAACUUAUUCCAAGUUCAUCUUUAGACUCUUAUUGCCUAUUUGCUCUUAAUUGAAGAUUUUGGUGAGGCAAUGGGGUUAAAGGGCCAAGAUUGAUCCCGUUUUGGUGCUUGAUGCCAAAGGGGGAGAAAAUAAAGGCCAAAGCAAUAGAUGGAUCAGCUACCACUUGAGAAAUUUUGAAAAUAGUAGAUUAGAGCUUUUGUGUUGUCAAAACUCUUGCAUUGUCUCUUUUGUCAAAAGUUGGUCUCUUGUGGGGAGAAGUGUUGAUUAUGGGAAAAAGGGGGAGUUUUUGGAAUCUUGAAUCAAUUUCUUUGGAAAACCUCUCUUUGUGUCUCUACAAGUGGAUUUGACUUAGAGAUAGGAUUUUGUGUUUGAUUUGCAAAAACAAACCAAAUGGUGGCAAAGGAUGAUCCAUAUAUGCCAAAUUGAAUCAAAAUAAAUUUGAGUUUUUAUUUGAAGUGAUAUUGCACUUGUUCUAGUUGCUUUAUGUUGUGUUGGCAUAAAUCACCAAAAAGGGGGAGAUUGAAAGGGAAAUGUGCCCUUGGGCCAUUUCUAAAGUAUUUUGGUGAUUGAGUGCCAACACAAGUGCUUAAUUGUGAAUCUAUGCCCAUGGAUGAACAAAGUGCAAAUCAAGAGCAAAGGUAUGUUUCUAAGUCUUAGUACAUUGGUUUUGUGUACUAAUAUACUUGUCUAAGUAUCAGAAAUAGAAAGAAGAAGAAAAGAGAAGAGUUGGCUGUGUACAGCCAAGAGGCUGUUUCGGUCUGGGGCACCGGACUGUCCGGUGGUGCACCGGACAGUGUCCGGUGCGCCAGGCUGCCUCAAGCGAAGUGGCCGCUCUCGGGAAUCUGCCGACGGCGUACGGCUAAAAUUCACCGGACUGUCCGGUGUGCACCGGACUGUCCGGUGAGCCAACGGUCGGCCGCACGAUCCGCGCGGGACACGUGGCCGAGCCAACGGCUAGAAGGGGGCACCGGACUGUCCGGUGUGCACCGGACAUGUCCGGUGCGCCAACGGCUCCCGCAUCUGCAACGGUCGGCUGCGCUGUUUAAGGAAGGAAAUCGGGCACCGGACAGUGUCCGGUGUGCACCGGACUGUCCGGUGCGCCCGACGACAGAAGGCAAGGAUGGCCUUCCAGAAUUGUUCCCAACGGCUCCUAGCUGCCUUGGGGCUAUAAAAGGGACCCCUAGGCGCAUGGAGGAGUACACCAAGUAUUCCUACAACAUUCCUAAGCACCAAGACAUCGAUUCCACGCAUUUGGUUCAUUGUGAUAGCAUCUAGAGCUCUUGUUGAGUUGUGAACUCAUUGAGUUGUGUUGCGAGCUCUUGUUGCGACUUGUGUGCGUGUUGUUGCUCUGAUCUUUUGAAGUCUUGUGUGCGUUGCUCAUUCCCCCCCUUACUCCGUAUUUCUUUGUGAAUCUCAAGUGUAAGGGCGAGAGACUCCAAGUUGUGGAGAUUCCUCGCAAACGGGAUAUUGAAAGGCAAAGCAAAACACCGUGGUAUUCAAGUUGGUCUUUGGACCGCUUGAGAGGGGUUGAUUGCAACCCUCGUCCGUUGGGACGCCACAACGUGGAGUAGGCAAGCGUUGGUCUUGGCCGAACCACGGGAUAAACCACUGUGUCAUCUCUGUGUUUGAUCUCUUGUGGUAUUGUGUUUUGUUGAGACUCAUCUCUAGCCACUUGGCAAUUAUUGUGCUGACACUUAACAAGUUUUUGUGGCUAUAAGUUUAAGUUUUACAGGAUCACCUAUUCAUCCCCCCCUCUAGGUGCUCUCAGGAAGCAAGGAAACGUCAGCAGGAUCCAUGCCGCACCGCCAGCUGCGCUUCUACAGGGCUCAAGCACUUCUCCGUCGGCCACGUUAGCACAUAGCUACACCCCCAUUGUACAGCUGGACCAUCUCCUUGUAUCUAUAAAAGGGGAUGUCCAGGGCCUUCCUGAGAGGGGAAAAAGGGAGGGAGGAGAGCAUGGGCAGCAAGAACGGCGGAGACGGACUCACUCAAACAUCGAGCUCCACUCCGCAACACUAGACUCCCCAGGAGGCCUAGGGCAUGUUCCCUCUCUCGCGAAGCUUGUAACCCCUACUGCAAGCACCCCCGAUGCAAGAUAAUAUAAGCCUCAUCCCCCCUAUUGUGUUCCAUCUUGCAUCAACCCAUCUGGACAGGGGCACGCGGCACAAAAUUCACUAGUCGAUCCGGUUGAGGGUCCCCCGGGUCCGAAACACCGACAUCUUUAACGAGCAAGUCCUCUUGGCAUUCCAAGAGAUCUUCCUUCUCGUUAAUGGAUUCUAUUAAUUCAUUAAUCUUUUACUUUUGAUCCUUGGUAAGGUUGGCAAAAAGAGAAGUUAAAUCAUCAUUAUCAUCACUAGAGCUACCCUCAUCAUCGGAUGUAGUAUAUUUGGGGGUAUCUCUAGAGUGUACCUUCUUCUUCUUGUCGUCCUUGGCCAUGAGGCAUUUGUGGUUGAUGUUGGGGAAGAGAAGGCCUUCGUUGAUGGCGAUGUUGGCGGCGUCCUCGUCAGAGGAGUCGGUGGAGCUCUCGUCAGAGUCCUAUUCCCGCCCAAUGUGCGCCUCGCCACCCUUCUUCUUGUAGUAUCUUUUCUUCUCCAUCUUCUUCUUCCCUUUCUUGUCUUCAUCCCUGUCACUAUCACCUGUAUAUGGACAUUUUACAAUGAAGUGACCAGACUUACCACACCUAUAGCAAACCCUCUUGGAGCGGGAUUUAUAGUCCUUCCCCUUCUUUUGCUUGAGGAUUUGUCGGAAGCUCUUGAUGAUAAGAGCCAUCUCCUCAUUGUCGAGCUUGGAGGCGUCGAUUGGGAGUCUACUUGGUGUAGAUUCCUCCUUUUUUUCUUCUAUUGCUUUGAAUGUAAUGGGUUGCACCUCGGGUGUAGAGGUGAUGCCUUGCUCCAAGUUGACAAUGUUCUUGGUGUCUUUGAUCAUAAGUUCGAAGCUCACAAACUUGCUAAUAACCUCCUCGGGGGACAUCUAUUUGUAUCUAGGAUCUCCACGAAUUAAUUGAACUUGAGUAGGAUUACGAAAAAUGAGAGAUCUUAGAAUAACCUUGACCAUUUCAUGGACAUCCCAUUUGGUGCUCCCGAGGUUGCGGACUUGGUUGACCAUUGUUUUGAGCCGGUUGUACAUUGCUUGUGGCUCCUCUCCUUUGUUGAGGACGAGUCGACCGAGCUCUCCUUCGAUCGUCUCGUGCUUGGUGAUCUUGGUCACCUUGUCCCCUUCGUGCGCUGUUUUGAGGACGUCCCAAAUUUCUUUGGCAUUUUUCAACCCUUGCACCUUAUUAUACUCGUCUCGACACAAGGAAGCAAGGAGUAUAGAAAUUGCUUGGGAAUUAAAAUGCCUAAUUUGGGCGGCCUCGUCCGAGUCAUAGUCCUUGUCGCCCACCUGUGGUGCCUGCGCUCCAAACUCAACAAUAUCCCAUAUGCUUUCGUGGAAUGAGGUUAGAUGGUGCCUCAUUUUAUCACUCCACAUACAAUAAUCUUCACCAUCAAAAUAUGGUGGUUUGCCUAGGGGUACCAAAAGUAGAGGAGCGCGUUUAGGAAUGCGAGGAUAAUGAAGAGGCAUCUUACUAUACUUCUUACGCUCGUGACGCUUCGAAGUUGUAGACUCGGCGCCGGAUGUGGAAGGUGAUGAAGAGUCGGUCUCGUAGUAGACCACUUUCUUCAUUUUUCUUUUUCUUCUUGUCACCCUUCCUUAGUGACUUUAUGGAGGAAGAAAAUUCCUCCUUGUAUUUGUCGCCGGACUCCCUUGAUAGAGUCCUUCUCGAGCCCAUGGCCUUGUCGCCGGUGACAAUCUCCCUCUUGGCGUGAUCUCCAGACAUCACUUCGAGUUUGUUAGACUCUUAAUGAAGCACUGGCUCCGAUACUAAUUGAAAGUCGCCUAGAGGGGGGUGAAUAGGCGAAACCUGAAAUUUAUAAACUUAAGCUUGCACUAAGGUCGGGGUUAGCGUCAGAAUUAAAUUAGAAUGCGGAAGAAUUUUUCUCUUUCUAUGAGUUGCUCAAACUGAUGCAGAUAACUUUGGGAGCCAACUCAAAGAUAAUAUUAGCAAGAAAACUUUAGAGAGAGGAAAGAGGAAAACAAAUAAAGUGGAAAUCAAUACAAGUGAACAUGGUGAUUUGUUUUACCGAGGUUCGGUUUCAACGAACCUAGUCCCCGUUGAGGAGGCCACAAAGGCCGAGUCUAUUUCAACCGUUUCCCUCUCUCAAAUGGUCACUAAGACCAGUUGAGUGCUUCUUCUUAAUCUCACGGGUCACUAAGACACCGCAAGGAUCACCACAUAAUUAGGUGUCUCUUGCAAUCUUUACAAAACACUUAGAGAGUUUCGAAAGAGAUGAAGAAAGCACGAUUAAGGAAACCAAGCAACAAGAGCAACAAAUGAAACACGAAUCACUCUCUCUCAAGUCACUAAUCACUAAUGAUCACUUGUCUCAAUUGUGAAACUUGGAGAGAUUGGAAGCUUUGAAUGUGUGAGAGCACCUAGAGGGGGUGAAUAGGUGAUCCUUUGAAAACAAACACUAAAUAGCCCAAACUUGGUUAUGAAAUGUUAGUAAGAUUAAAGCCAAGUUGCUAUAGCGAGAACUCUUCACUUGAUUGUUCCCUUAGAAUGAGUAUUGAAUCUGGAACAAUUGCACAAGUGAUUAAGCGAGAACUCUAGAGAAGAAACCAAUCACAAAGAAAAGUGACACAAGAGACACGGUGAUUUUAUCCCGUGGUUCAGCCAAGUAUAACACUUGCCUACUUCCAUGUUGUGGCGUCCCAAUGGACAAGUGCACUCAACCCCUUUCAAGUGAUCCAAUGAUCCACUUGAAUACCACAGUUUUCUUCCUUAUAGUUGUUUUCCCGUUUGUGAGGAAUCUCCACAAGUUGGAGCCUCUCACCCUUACAAAGUUGAUCACAACAAAAGCACAAGAGUAAGGGAGGGAAAGAAACACAUGCAAACUCUAGAGUCACAGCAAUCCCACGCACACAAGUUAAGAAGAGAGCACACAAACAACAAUGCAACAAGUCUAUAGCUCACAAAGUGCUCAAAUCUCAAUCGUGAUGAUCCAAAUGCGUGGUUGAGGAGUCUAGGCGUCUUAGGAUGUUCAAUGGAGGCUUGGUUUGGUGUAGUGCUCCAUGCGCCUAGGGGUCCCUUUUAUAGCCCCAAGGCAGCUAGAAGUCGUUGGAACUCCAUUUGGUAGGUGUUGGGUCUAUGCUUCGUCGCCGAAGGUCUUCUAGGAAGAAGCGGCUUUCGGCUGAAGCUGUUUGUAUGAGAUGGCCGAAGGUUCCUCUUCAUGAAGCUUCGGUAUUGCAAACCGACAUAAAGAUAGAAUGACCUUUUAGUCCAUAAAGGUCUGAGUCAAUGUUGUAAACUUUUAUGAGGGGCAUAAUUGUAAUUCCUCGCAGGCUGUGUCCUGUGCCUAUAAAUAGUGAACAGUAUUCCUUUACUGUUCACGCAUUCUGGUAAUUGCAAUCGCAUCUUUCGGGAACCAACCUUUGCCAAGGCAGAGGUAUUAUUGUGUUCAAUGAUUCAAUAUAUUAAGUAAAUAUAAUAUAAUUCGUCUAUGAUUUAUUUACCCUUUUAUAUCCUUUAUUUUAUGUUAUCUUAUACAAUCUAUUGAAAUUUUAUUACGAAGACUUGAGCUUCGUAAUCAUAUUUUCAUCAACCUUCGUCCAAGGCUCAUUAUCCUCAAGGGAAUAAUGUUUCAUGGACGAAGAACGUUAACAUUUAACAUUUUAUGUUGCCUUGUUCUUAAUUCAUAGCAUUUGAGAACAAGUCCCCAACAUUGGCGCCCACCUCCGGUGAACUCACUUCCACUUUUUGAGCUGAUGGCUUCGUUCAAUGAUCAAGUUGGAGCUGCUUCGGACCCGAAGCUGGUGCUCCCGAUUACAGGUGGUUCGUCCUCAGAGCCAGCCAACAAGAAACAGAAGAAAGAAGCACAGAGAAGGGUACAGCAUGUUGGGGUGCAAGGACCCUUCAUCAAGUCAAGAUGGUCUCACAUUCCUAUUACCUUCUCCCAAGAGGACCUUCAGCUCAAGGAUUACCCACACAAUGAUGCCAUGGUUAUCUCUUGUGUUAUCAAAGGAUUUCUGGUCCACAAUGUCUUGGUUGACACAGGUAGUGCAGCUGAUAUCAUAUUUGCUAAGGCCUUCAGACAAAUGCAAGAGCCAGAAGAUAAGAUUCAUGAUGCUACACAUCCUCUCUGUGGCUUCGGAGGAAGACAAAUUGUAGCACUGGGCAAGAUCACCAUGUCAGUGACCUUCGGGUUCAUCAACAACACCAGAACUGAGCAAAUUGUGUUUGACAUUGUUGACAUGGAAUACCCUUACAAUGCAAUUAUUGGUCGUGGCACCCUCAAUGCUUUCGAAGCAAUUCUUCAUCCUGCUUAUCUCUGCAUGAAGAUACCUUCGGAUCAAGGACCCAUCGCUAUUCAUGGAAGUCAGGAAGCUGCCAGAAGGGCCGAAGGAAACUGGACUGACUCAAAAGCAAUCCAUAACAUAGAUGGAGCUGAAGCUUGUGAACAAUACAAAUUCAGAAGGGAGAAAGCAGCUUCAGCAGAUCAGCCGAAGCCCAUGCUCUUAUGUGAGGACAUAGCAGAGCAGAAGGUGCUGUUGGGCUCUCAAUUAUCCAAAGAACAAGAGAAAACCUUGAUAAGGUUUUUGUUCAACAACAAAGAUGUUUUUGCAUGGUCAGCCAAUGAUCUCUGCGGAGUUAAUAGGGAUGUUAUUGAGCACUCGCUCAAUGUUGAUCCAUCCUUCAGACCCAGAAAGCAGAGGCUUCGGAAAAUGUCAGAUGAUAAGGCCGAAGGUGCUCGUAACGAAGUCAAAAGACUCCUCAGUGCAGGAGUUAUCAGAGAAGUAAAGUACCCAGAAUGGCUAGCUAACACUGUCAUGGUAAAAAAGGCCAAUGGCAAGUGGCGAAUGUGUAUCGAUUUUACAGAUCUCAACAAGGCUUGUCCGAAGGACGAAUUCCCAUUGCCAAGGAUAGACUCUUUAGUUGAUGCAGCAGCUUCUUCAGAGCUCAUGAGUCUGCUAGACUGUUACUCAGGCUAUCACCAAAUCUGGAUGAAGAAGGAAGAUGAGCCGAAGACUAGCUUCAUAACCCCAAGUGGCACAUAUUGCUAUCUUCGGAUGCCUGAGGGGCUCAAAAACGCCGGAGGAAGUUUCAGCAGAAUGACUGCGAAGGUUCUCCAGUCUCAGAUAGGCAGAAAUGUGCUAACUUAUGUUGAUGGCAUCAUUGUAAAAAGCACGAAACAGGAAAAUCAUAUUGCUGAUUUGCAGGAGACCUUCGCCAGUUUUAGACAAGCUGGCUUAAAGUUGAAUCCAGAAAAAUGUGUCUUCGGAGUAAAGAAGGGGAAAUUUCUUGGAUGCUUGGUUUCAACAAAGGGAAUCGAAGCUAAUCCAAGUAAAAUUGAAGCUAUACUUCGAAUGGAGCCACCAUCCACAAAAAAGGGGGCCCAAAGAUUAACAGGGAGGUUAGCAUCUCUUAAUAGAUUUAUAUCCAGAUCAGCAGAAAGGAAUCUACCAUUCUUCGAAGUGCUGAAAUCAGCCGAAGUCUUUCAAUGGGGACCAAGCCAACAAAAAGCCUUCGAGGAGUUGAAGCAAUAUCUGAUAGAUUUAACAACAUUAACUCCACCAACGCCAGGGGCUCCUUUGUUAUUAUAUGUGGCAGCUUCGCACUCAGCGGUGAGUGCAGCACUUGUCCAGGAGAAGCUUGUUGGCCAAGUCAAGAAGCAGGUCCCAGUGUAUUUUGUAUCUGAAGUUCUUAGUAUAUCAAAGAAAAACUAUACAGAAUUAGAGAAGGUGUUAUAUGCUGUUUUGAUGGCAUCCAGGAAGCUUCGGCAUUACUUUCAAGCAUACAAUAUUGUUGUUCCUUCUUCACAGCCGUUGAAGGAUAUUAUGAGAAAUAGAGAAGCUACUGGAAGGAUUGGAAAAUGGGCUGCAGAGCUCAACGAAUUUUGUAUUGAAUAUGUUCAUAGAUCUUCGAUUCAGUCCCAGGCGUUAGCAGACUUCAUUGCUGACUGGACGCCAGGGGCUCAGGAGGAAGAAACAAAUAAAGAUGCCGAAGCAAGGAUAGUGUUUUGCGAUGGGUCUUGGGGAACCUUCGGAGCGGGAGCGGCUGCUGUGUUGGUUUCACCUUCCAAAGUUAAAACUUGCUAUGCGGCAAAACUUGAUUUUAGUUGCACAAAUAACAUUGCCGAGUACGAAGCCCUGCUUCUGGGUCUUCGGAAGCUAAAAGCAAUGGGAAUCAGAAGGGCCAUACUUAAAACUGAUUCCCAGGUUGUUUCGGGUCAUAUUGACAAGAGUUGCAAGGCUAAAGAUCCGAAGCUUGAAAAAUAUCUGGAUAUGGUUCGAAGAGUUGAAGCUUCCUUCGAAGGAUUUUCUGUCAAAAAUAUCCCUCGAGGACAAAAUGAGCAUGCUGAUUUGCUAGCUAAGUCAGCAGCACAGGGGCUGCCCUUACCUUCGGAUGUGUUCUUCGAAACAAUAAAAGCACCUUCGGUGGAACUUCUUGAAAGAGCAGUCCUCAAUAUAUCUCCUGUUUAUAGCGAAGAUUGGAGAACUGAGAUCAUCUCUUACCUACAGGGUAAAUUUCUUUCAGAUGACGAAGCUUAUAACAGGAGGAUAGAGGCAAGAGCUCGUCCAUAUGUCAUGAUAGAAGGGGAGUUGUACAAACAUGGAGUUUGUGCUCCGCUACUCAAGUGUUUAUCUAGAACCGAAGGCAUAGAGUUGAUGAAAGAAAUACAUGCAGGCCUGUGUGGAUCUCACAUUGGAUCUAGGCCGUUACUUGGAAAAGUUUUCCGUCAGGGGUUUUAUUGGCCGAAGGCAGCUUCGGAUGCGGCGGAAUUAGUUCAAAAGUGCGAAGGUUGUCAGAAAUGUGCAAGAGAUCAAAAACAACCUUCGUCCUUAACACAGCUCAUACAACCCAUCUGGCCAUUGCAAAGGUGGGGCCUUGACUUGUUAGGUCCGUUACCACCGGCCCAAGGGAACCUAAGAUAUGUUGUAGUGGCGGUGGAAUAUUUUUCUAAAUGGAUUGAGGCAAAGCCUUUAGCCACAAUAACUUCGGCCACCGUCCAAAAGUUUUUCUGGCAGAAUAUUGUUUGUCGUUUCGGGGUACCAAAGGCUAUCACUGUGGAUAAUGGAACACAGUUUGACUCCGAAGCUUUCAGGGAUUUCUGUGAUCAAAUUGGUACGAAGAUCCAUUUUGCAUCAGUCAGGCAUCCGGAGUCAAACGGACUCGUUGAAAGAGCCAAUGGCAUUAUAAUAACAGGAAUAAUGAAGUUAAUCUUCAAUCAACCUAGGGGAAAGUGGCCAGAUCAGUUAACCAAAGUGGUGUGGAGCCACAAUACAACAACAUCAAGGUCUACAGGCUUUACUCCAUUCAAGUUAUUAUUCGGUGACGAAGCAAUAACUCCGGAGGAAGCUAAAACCGGAUCAAUAAGAGUAGUAGCUUCGGUAGAAUCAGGUUCCGAAGCUGCUUAUUCUGUGGAAAAAGAUGCUUUAGAAGGGAUCAGGCUGCAAGCCGUGGAGAACAUCAAUAAAUAUCAAGCCGAAACAAUCAAAUGGCGAGAUAGAAAGGUUCGGCUUAAGAAUAUUGAGCCAGGACACUUGGUGCUUCGGAGAGUGGCCAACCCAGAAACAGUGGGCAAGUUGCAGUUGAAAUGGGAUGGACCUUUCUUAGUAGCAUCUUCGUCAAGACCCGGUUCAUACAGAUUGAAGGAUAUGGACGGCAACGACAUUCCUAGAUCUUGGAAUGCGGAUGAGCUUUGGCGAUAUUAUGUAUAACUCGAUGUAAUUUUUCAUAUUUUUUAUUUUUCUUUCAUGGCACCCUUUUCCUUUCUGAAGGGGGAGAAAGGUUUUUAAUGGGGCCAUCACAUGUAAUUUCCUUUUUUAGUUCUAUAAGAGCAAAAUCCCCCAAGGUUGUAAAUGUAAAAGCUGAGAACGCACCAUCGAGUGCCAAAAAGUAAAGGCGAAGAAGCUCCAAAGUCGUUCCUAAGGGAAUGCAGAGCUUACAGCGAAAAGUCAACGCUGAUUCCGCCAAAAGUAAAGGCGAAGAAGCUCUAAAGUCGUUCCUAAGGGAAUGCAGAGCUUACAGCGAAAAGUCAACGCUGAUUCCGCCAAAAGUAAAGGCGAAGAAGCUCCAAAGUCGUUCCUAAGGGAAUGCAGAGCUGAGGUGUGAUUGUUUUUAAGGAAAUAGUGGCUAUGAGUAUGGCUUCGGAUACGCGUUUGGACAUUCAUUUGCACAUCACAUUACAUCAUAGCAUUUGCAUUCAUAAACAUUCAUCCAGGCAUAUGUAGGAUAAUCAUCAUCAUGGCAUAAGUGGUUGCUUCGGCAAAAAGAAAAAAAAAAGAAAGAAAGAGCUUCGUGUACAAAAAGGAGAGCUUCGGAAAGAAGGGAAAUGUUGUUUUCUAUGCUUCGCUGCGUACGAAAAGAAGGGAAGGUGUUUUUUCGCCUUCGGCUCAAAAAAGAAAAUUUCGUCCACAUCAAAGCACUUCUCAUACAUCAAUGGAAGGAUAAGAAUAUAUUACAAGGUAUGAACAGAAUUCGUUAAAGACAAGUUUUAGUUACAUUUACAAAAGUUAUCUCAAAAGUUUCUCAAGUACUGUCUACAGUCUUCUAUUUAAUCUCCAAGGAGCUUCAGCUUCGGCGUCAUUUUUUUAAUCAUCGGCUUCGGCUUCGUCAUCCUACAUGAAUAAGGUUGUUGUAAGUCAAAAUCGAGCUUGAAGGAAGAGGUAAGCACAAGGUAUGAUUUCUUACUGGUUCAAGAUGACUCCGAGCUUCGUCUCCAGCCUUUUCUCGCGCACCUUUUGUCCAUAUCAUUUUUACAAAUCUAUUAGAGAUACUUCGGGCGAGAUCAGGAAUGUCAUCUAGGAUUGAUGGUGAUAAAGUGAAAUUUGGCCUAUUGACAAUCUUUCCAUGAUCGCAGCCAGCUUUUAGGAAAGCUGCAGCAGUGCCCCGAGAAGCUACCCAGGCACAGAAGUCACCGUGCCCAGCUAUGACUUCGUCGAGCUCGUCAAUCUCACCCUCAAUAUGUUCGAAGGUCUUCGGUAGAUCUUCAGCUGAGGGGGUGAAUUUCUCACUGCUGGCUCCAACUGAGUGGAAAAUUUUUCUUAAUCGUUGAAUGCAUUUGUUGCUAAAUUCCAAACAUUUUUCUUGAAGGCUUGCCAAUAGUUUUCUCAAAUCUGAAUUUUGUUGAGCUUCGGCUUCAAGUUUCGCAUUAAGAUCUUGCUUUUCUCGUUCGAACUGCUCAGAUUGGCGGAGAAGCUUCGUGUUCAGUUCUGUUAUUUUUGCUUCGGCUUCCGCCAAUAAUCUUCGGUUGCCUGGAGCUCAAAGUUCUUUUUCUCGAUAGCAUCUGAUUGCUCCUUUAUUCUGCUUUCCAAAAUUUCAAUUAUAACUUCGUGCUUCUUGUCUUCAAAAUCUUGCUGCAUUUUCAAGGCUUUGCUCAACAGCAUACUCUGCACGAAAACAGCCUUCGUCAGACAUGUUUUCAUUAUUAGAAAUAAUAAAAGUUAAGGGAAAAGUAGUUCACCUUGAAAUUGGAAUAAAAUAAACUACCAACGAUAUGUUGUCGUCGGUAGCGGCUGAUGUCUGUUUCUAGCUUCGGAAAACCGAUACUCUUUGACAGAGUACCGAUAACUUUGGCUCCAGUUUGAUCUCGAAUACAAUCUAAUUUUUCAUCAUCAAUGCCUCCGAAGAGGAGUGCUCCAGGUUUGUAUCCGCAGGAUUUGGCAUACUCUCUAAGCUCUUCUAUUUCAGCUUUUGACAGUUUUUCUCCAACUAAAUUCUGGAACAUGAAGGCUUCGUUUUCUGAAGCUUCAUCAGCAAUUUCCUUCCCUUUCCCCGACGCUGCGGUCGCGGCCUCUUCGGCGGCGGUGGUAGCUUCUUCUGCAGCCAUGUCUAGCAGUAUUUUGUCAAUGUGUUCGAUUGUGCUCUCCAGGUUCAAAUCUUCAGCUGAGGCAGCUUCGGCAGCCGCGACCUCCGAAGGUGUGAUUUCAAUAUCUGUCCCUUCCUCAGCCGCUGGUGUCUUCUGAGCUGAAGCUCUUGGCGGUGUCUUGUCAAUUACCUCUGUCACACCGAUGAUCCUCUGUCUCUUUACUUUAUUCGUUUUCUUCAUUUUUUCGGGCUCCUUUUCCUUCUGAAAAAACUUUGUCAGUUGAGGCCCCAAUGGACUUAGCUUCGCAGGCAGGGAUUCAGUCAUUACCUUCAAAAUUGCCUCCACAUCAGUGGCAGAGGGUGAUGCGGGGGAUUUUUCUUCGUCGGAUAUUUUUCGUUUCGGAGAAGACGCUUUCCUCUUCUUUGGAAUUUUCUUCUUUGGUGUCUCUUUUUCAUCUUCAUUUGAGGCUUCGGUUAUCCUUUUCCUUUUCUGGCCUCCGGCACCUUUGUUCAGAUUUUCAUAGUCAGGGUAUUCAAAACCCAAGGCGUCCAGCACUCGGUUCAGUCUUCGCUUCGGACGGGUGCCGAAGGCCGCAGUCAUCAAUUGAUCUUCUUUUUUGGAAUAAUUGCCAAGUAUUUCAUUGCACAUUACUUCAAUUGUAUCUAGCCACUCUUGGCAAGGUGUUUUAAAGUACUUUUUAAACUUGAAAAAGUAAGGUAAACGUACAAGUUCACCUUCUUUCUUCUCCCCCUUUAGCUUCGGCAUUUCCCAUUCUUUCAAACUGGGAAAAACUUUGAAAGCCAAAAACUCCUGAACCAGGUCCCUUGUACUGAUAUGCUCUGCAAUAAUUCUGAAUUCAUUCAUUGCUUGUUGUGUUGGACCUUCGGGUGUCAUGUUGCAGCGAGGUCGGGUUUCUCCGAAGAUUUGUUCGAGUGGACUUUGCACAAGCUUCUCCUUGUCGUCAUCAACCUUGACAUAGAACCACUCCGACUUCCAGCCUGCUGCCCAUUUGCUUCGGUAGCUGAUUACAGGAAACUUUGUGGUUUUCCGAUAGGCGAAGUUAUAGCAACCAAAAUUGUCGUGUAGUCCAUCCUUUCUAGCCUCCGUCUGAUAAUGCAGCUCGUGAACCCGGCAAAAGCUAUCCGCAAAUGGUUCCACCGCUUGGCUUCGGAGGGCCCAGAUAUAAACGCUAAGCCUAACGAUAGCGUUAGGGGUCAGCUGGUGAAAAUAGAUACCGAACCUCUUCAGUACCUCUGCAAUAAUCCCAUGUAGGGGGAAUCUUAAUCCAGCCUUUAGAAAGCUUUUGAAAAUAACAAUUUCAUCCUUCUCCGGUUUUGGGGUAGUCUCUUCUCCCCCGAAGCGUAAUAGCUUCUUCUGAUUUUCAUUAAAAAAGCCCGACUUUACCAUCUUGGAGAGAUCAGCCUUCGAAACAGUAGAUUUCCCGAAGUCCAAGUGGCUGGGCUUGCUUGGCAUGGCAAUGCGAUAAUCAUCUUCGGGAUCAGUUUCCUCAAUAUCUUCUUCUUCUGCUUCAGCGAUUGCUUGUUCUGCUUGUUCUGCAUCAUCACUAGGGAUCUUUUCCGAAGUUACCAGUCCGGAUCUCUGCAUCGCUUCGGAGAUGGGAACAGUCUCUGAACCUUCAGCUUCGCCCCCCUCAUGCUCAACCCUAGCGGUAGAACGUACUCUGGCCAUUUAAAUCUGAGUUUGUGGAAAUUAAAUACUUUUUUCUCCCGAAGUUUUUUCUUUUGACGAAGCAAGCUUCAAGUUGGAGCUUCGUUCGAUUCCGAGAGUCAAGCUUCGGCGAUGGUUAAAAAUUUUGGCAGCAGAACAGUGCAAAUAGCAAUGAAUGCUGUGGUGACUUCACACCUACUCGUCUGUUUAUAUAGUACUGCAGGUAAGAAGGCGAAGCGCCAGGAUUUCUACACCAGGCGGACACCCGCUUGCACUCGCUGCGCGGUGGACCGCAGGGACAAACAGUAACUCUACAAGGUGGGACCACUACGCGCUGGGAAACUGAAUCGUUUCUCGACAACGAGCUCAGGGAAGGUGUUUUUUGGACCUUCGGCUCCCCGAAGCUUAAGAGACUUUUUUCACGGAUCAAGCUCGUUACGAAAAACGAUCUAGCACCGCGAAAGGGGCUACUGUUGGGUCUAUGCUUCGUCGCCGAAGGUCUUCUAGGAAGAAGCGGCUUUCGGCUGAAGCUGUUUGUAUGAGAUGGCCGAAGGUUCCUCUUCAUGAAGCUUCGGUAUUGCAAACCGAAAUAAAGAUAGAAUGACCUUUUAGUCCAUAAAGGUCUGAGUCAAUGUUGUAAACUUUUAUGAGGGGCAUAAUUGUAAUUCCUCGCAGGCUGUGUCCUGUGCCUAUAAAUAGUGAACAGUAUUCCUUUACUGUUCACGCAUUCUGGUAAUUGCAAUCGCAUCUUUCGGGAACCAACCUUUGCCAAGGCAGAGGUAUUAUUGUGUUCAAUGAUUCAAUAUAUUAAGUAAAUAUAAUAUAAUUCGUCUAUGAUUUAUUUACCCUUUUAUAUCCUUUAUUUUAUGUUAUCUUAUACAAUCUAUUGAAAUUUUAUUACGAAGACUUGAGCUUCGUAAUCAUAUUUUCAUCAACCUUCGUCCAAGGCUCAUUAUCCUCAAGGGAAUAAUGUUUCAUGGACGAAGAACGUUAACAUUUAACAUUUUAUGUUGCCUUGUUCUUAAUUCAUAGCAUUUGAGAACAAGUCCCCAACAGUAGGCAAUUCUUGCCUUCUGCCGGUUGGCGCACCGGACAGUCCGGUACACCACUAGACAUGAACAGUGCCUGAUUCGUUUCCUUUUUUGGCAAAGCAGACCGUUGAGCCUUUGGUCUCCUUGGUGCACCAGACACUGUCCGGUGCACACCGGACAGUCUGGUGCGGCCUGGUGACCGUUGGCUCGGCCACAUGUUGCCCGCUGAUCGCGCAGCUGACCGUAGGCGCGGGGCGCUGAUGGCUCACCAGACAUUCCGGUGCACACUGGAUAGUCCGGUGAUUUUUAGCCAUGGCACCCCCACCAAUUCCCUAGAGCAGCGAGUUCGUUGCUGGACCAGCCUAUGCACCGGACACUGUCCGGUGCACUCCGGACAGUCCGCUGCACCGAAGGCUAGUGCAAGUUUGGCUGGACUUAGCCAAAACUUCUCCAAUCCAAUUUUAUUUGACAAGCAUCCUAGCACUUAGAGAAAUAUGUUAGUACCAAAAACAAUUCACUAAGGCCAGAGUCAUACCUUGAUUAUUUGAUUUUCAUCUCUUUAGCACUUAGCACAUAUGAACUAAAAUAUUAUGUGUUGGGCAUCUAAUCACCAAAACAUUUAUAGAAAUGGCCCAAGGGAACAUUUCCCUUUCAAUCUCCCCCUUUCUGGUGAUUUAUGCCAACACAUUAAAAGCAACUCAAAAUGCAACAACAUUUUCAAGGAGAAGCUAAAGAGUGCAAAUUGAAGACUAAUUUAACUCACAUAGGAUUUGGUAUAUUUGGAUCACUUUUGCCACCACUUGGUUUAUUUUCACAAAACAAAUUAUUUUUCCUAUCUCUAUAUCAAAAACACUUGUUUUGGCAAAUCAAGAGAUCUUUCCAGAGUAAAUUUUGAUCAAAUGCCAAAAACUCCCCCUUUUCCCAUAAUCAAACUUCUCCCCUAUAAGAGACCAAUUUUUGCAAUAAGAGGAUUUUGGACAAAACACAAAGAUUCUAAUUCUACAAUUUUUGAAAUUCACAAGUGGUUGGCUGAUCCAUUUGCUUUGGUCUUAAUUUCUCCCCCUUUGGCAUUAAGCACCAAAAUAGGAGACCUUUUUGGCUCUUUAACCCCAUUGCCUCACCAAAAUGUCAAAUAAGAGUAAAAAGGCAAUGAGAGCACAACAAAGAACUUAGGACAAGAUACAUUUAUACCGGAAUGCAGUGGAAGCUCUUUCUUUGUCCAUAUUUACUUUUCCCUUUCAAUAUCCCUUUGAGGCUAUUUCAAGAGUACUCAACAAACAAGUUAGUUUCAAAGGAGUCAAGUUGUAGCACAUCUCCUCCUAAACAUGUGCAUCAUUUGCAUAGGGACUUGUGAGGUCUGGGGUGACUUGUACAACUUGAGCACCACAAAUAAGAAAUAAAUGACAUGAAUGCUUAAAGUAACAUGAUCAAAGGCAUAUAACACAUGUAUGCUAUAGAUCAAUCCAAGUUACGCGAAUCUAAGACAUUUAGCUCACUACGCAACCUGCAAAACCUUUUCUCAUCUAAAGGCUUGGUGAAGAUAUCGGCUAGCUGGUUCUCGGUGCUAAUAUAAUAGAUAUCAAUAUCUCCCCUUUGCUGGUGGUCUCUCAGAAAGUGAUUGGCUGAUCCUUUUGCUAGAGGGUUUUGAUCCAACAUAAAGCUUUUAACUUUACAAUUUUUGAAAUUUCACAAGUGGUUGGCCGAUCCUUUUGCUUUGGCCUUAAUUUCUCCCCCUUUGGCAUUAACCACCAAAAUGGGAGAACUUUUGGCCCUUUUUAACCCCAUUGCCUCACAAAAAAGUCAGAUAAGAGAAAAAAGCAAUGAGAACGAACUUGGGACAAGAUACAUUGAUACCGGAAUGCAGUGGAAGCCCUCUCUUUGUCCAAGUUCACUUUUCCCUUUCAAAACACCUUUGAGACUAUUUCAAGAGUACUCAACAAACAAGUUAGUCUCAAGGGAGUCAAGUUGUAUCACAUCCUCCCCCUAAACAUGUGUAUCAUUUGCAUAGAGACUUAUGAGGUCUGGGGAUGACUUGUACAAUUUGAGCACCAAAAUUAAGCAAUUAAAGACAUUAAUUCUUAAAGUAACAUGAUCAAAGACAUAGAACACAUGUAUGUUAUAGAUCAAUCCAAGUUACGCGAAUCUAAGACAUUUAGCUCACUACAUAACCUACAAAACCUUUUCUCAUCUAAAGGCUUGGUGAAUAUAUCGGCUAGCUGGUUCUCGGUGCUAAUAUGGUAAAUAUCGAUAUCUCCCCUUGCUGGUGGUCUCUCAAAAAGUGAUGCUGGAUGUCUAUGUGCUUAGUGCAGCUGUGUUCAAUAGGAUUAUCCGCCAAGCGGAUUGCACUCUCAUUGUCACAUAGGAGUGGGACUUUGCUCAGAUUGUAGCCAAAGUCCCGGAGGGUUUGCCUCAUCCAAAGUAGUUGCACGCAACACUAUCCUGCGACAACAUACUCGGCCUCAGCGGUGGAUAGGGCAACAGAAGUUUGUUUCUUAGAGCUCCAGGACACUAGGUAUCUUCCCAGAAACUAACAAGUCCAUGAUGUACUCUUCCUAUCAACCUUGCACCCGGCAUAGUCAAAGUCUAAGUAUCCAAUUAAGUCAAAGGUAGACCCCUUUGGAUACUAGAUCCUGAAGCAAGGCGUAGAAACUAAAUAUCUAAGAAUUCGCUUAACGGCCAUAAGGUGACACUCCUUGGGGUCGGAUUGAAAUCUAGCACACAUGCAUACACUUAGCAUAAUAUCCGGUCUACUAGCACAAAGAUAAAGCAAGGAUCCUACCAUAGACUGGUAUGCCUUUUGAUCAACGGACUUACCUCCUUUAUUGAGGUCCAGAUGUCCGUCUGUUCCCAUAGGUGUCUUCGCGGGCUUUGCAUCCUUCAUCCCAAACUUAUUAAGUCUUGAGUGUACUUUGUUUGGGAGAUGAAGGUUCCUUCCUUGAGUUGCUUCACUUGAAAUCCAAGGAAGUAGUUCAACUCGCCCAUCAUCGACAUCUCGAACUUUUGCAUCAUCACCCUGCUAAACUCCUCACAAGACUUUUGAUUAGUAGAACCAAAUAUAAUUUCAUCGACAUAUAUUUGGCAUACAAAAAGAUUACCAUUGCAAGUCUUAGUAAAAAGAGUAGGAUCAGCUUUCCCAACCUUGAAAGCAUUAGAAAUGAGAAAAUCUCUAAGACAUUCAUACCAUGCUCUUGGGGCUUGCUUAAGUGCAUAGAGCGCCUUAGAGAGCUUGUAGACAUGGUCGGGAUACCUGUCAUCCUGAAAGCCAUGGGGUUGUUCCACGUAUACUUCCUCCUUGAUUGGUUCAUUAAGGAAGGCGCUCUUCAUGUCCAUUUGGAACAACUUAAACGAAUGGUGAGCAACAUAGGCUAUUAAUAUUCGAAUUGAUUCUAGCCUAGCUACAGGAGCAAAAGUCUCCUCAAAAUCCAAACCUGCGACUUGGGUAUAACCUUUUGCCACAAGUCGAGCCUUGUUUCUUGUCACCACACCGUGUUCAUCUUGCUUGUUGCGGAACACCCACUUGGUUCCUACAACAUUUUGCUUUGGACGUGGCACCAGGCUCCAUACUUCAUUUCUUUUGAAGUUGUUGAGCUCCUCCUGCAUGGCCAACACCCAAUCCGGAUCCAGCAAGGCUUCUUCUACCCUGAAAGGCUCAAUAGAAGAAACAAACGAGUAAUGCUCACAAAAAUUAGCUAAAUGUGAGCGAGUUGUUACUCCCUUGCUGAUAUCACCCAGAAUCUGAUCUACUGGAUGAUUCCUUUGAAUUGUCGUCCGGACUUGAGUUGAAGGAAGUCGUGAUGCUUCUUCCUCCUUAUCCUGUUCUUCAUGUGCUCCCCCUUGAUCCUGCCCCUCUUCUUGAGGUACCUGUUCAUCGUCUUGAGUUGGGGGAUGCACCACCGUAGAGGAAGACGGUUGAUCUUGUUCUUGUGGUUCCUGUGGUCGCACAUCACCUAUCGCCAUUGUUCGGAUUGCGGCCGUCGAAACCUCAUCCUCAUCUAUAUCAUCAAGAUCAACUUGCUCUCUUGGAGAGCCAUUAGUCUCAUCAAAUACAACGUCGCUAGAGACUUCAACUAAUCCUGAUGAUUUGUUGAAGACUCUAUACGUUUUUGUAUUUGAGUCAUACCCUAGUAAAAAAACCUUCUACAGCUUUGGGAGCAAACUUCGAAUGCCUACCUUUUUUACCAAAAUGUAACAUUUGCUCCCAAAUACACGAAAAAUAUGAAACAUUGGGUUUGUUACCGAUUAGGAGUUCGUAAGAUGUCUUCUUGAGGAGGCGAUGCAGAUAGAGCCGAUUUAUGGCAUGGCAGGCUGUAUUCACGGCUUCCGACCAAAACCGCUCAGGCGUCUUGUAUUCUCCAAGCAUCGUCCUUACCAUAUCAAUUAGUGUCCUGUUCUUCCUCUCUACCAAACCAUUUUGUUGUGGUGUGUAGGGAGCGGAGAACUCGCGCUUGAUGCCGUCCUCCUCAAGAUAUUCUUCGACUUGAAGAUUCUUGAACUCAGAUCCGUUAUCGCUUCUUAUCUUUUUCACCUUUAGAUCAAAUUCGUUUUGAGCUCUCCUUAGGAAGCGUUUUAGGGUUCCUUGGGUUUUAGACUUAUCCUGCAAAAAGAACACCUAAGUGAAGCGCGAAAAAUCAUCAACUAUAACAAGACCACACUUACUUCCCCCGAUGCUGAGAUAGGCAACGGGCCCGAAGAGAUCCAUGUGUAGGAGUUCUAGUGGUCUUGAUGUUGUCAUUACAUUCUUGCUUUGAUGAGUGCUUCCCACCUGCUUCCCUGCUUGGCACGCUGCACAAGGUCUGUCUUUCUCAAAACAGACAUCGGUUAGUCCUAACACAUAUUCUCCCUUUAGAAGCUUAUGAAGGUUCUUCAUUCCAACAUGUGCUAGACGGCGGUGCCAUAGCCAGCCCAUGUUAGUCUUAGCAAUUAAGCAUGCAUCUAGAUCGGCAUUCUCUUUUGAGAAAUCAACUAAGUAGAGCUAGUCGUCUAAUACACCCUUAAAAGCUAAUGAACCAUCACUUCUUCUAAAGACAGAUACAUCAAUAUUUGUAAAUAAACAAUUAUAGCCCAUAUGACAUAAUUGGCUUAUAGACAACAAAUUGUACCCGAGCGAUUCUACUAAAAACACAUUAGAGAUCGAAUGUUCGGUAGUGAUGGCUAUCUUGCCUAAGCCUAUGACCUUGCCUUGGUUCCCAUCUCCAAAGAUGAUAGUGUCUUGGGAAUCCCUGUUCUUGACGUAGGAGGUGAACAUUUUCUUCUCCCCUGUCAUGUGGUUUGUGCAUCCGCUAUCAAUAAUCCAGCUUGAGCCCCCAGAUGCAUAAACCUGCAAGGUAGUUAAGCUUGGGUUUUAGGUACCCAACUCUUGUUGGGUCCUACAAGGUUAGUUACAACAGAUUUUGGAACCUAAAUGCAAGUUUUGUCUCUCUUGCAUUUAGAUCCCAACUUUCUAGAAACUACUUUAGCAUUUUUACAUGACAGUAUAAAAGAGGCAUUACAUGUUUGGUAAAUAGUAGUUGGACCAGUGCAUACUUUCCUAGGCGUAUGAGAAACAACAUAAUUAUGCCUAGGUCUAUUUCUACCAUGAGCAUGAGAGGAGCUAGUUGUAAACAUGGCAUGAGAAUCAUGAUAAGCAGGUAAAGUAGCAUAAUUAUAACACCUAUCAUGAAGAGCAACAUUGGAAAUAUUCUUAACAUGAGCAUAAAGAUAAGCAUGGUUCUUUUGGUCAUGUGUGUAGGAAACGGGUGACGCCUAAGAGGGGGGUGAAUUAGGACUUCUAAAACUUUUACUAAACUAGGCCACAAUCAAAUCCCUAGAACAAAACAUAUGCAAGUAAUUAAACUAGAAAGUGCAAUCUAGGUUUUGUCUAAGUGUUGCUAUCUCUACCGCAAUGGCUAAGUUUCAAUCUACACUAAAUAAGUAUGUAUACAAGAUUGAAACUUAAAUGCUUAAUAUAAAAGCGGAAACUUAAAGAGCAAAGUAGAGAAGCAAACUCUCGUGGAUGACGCCGGUAUUUUUACUGAGGUAUCCGGAACCACGCAAGGUCCCGACUAAUCCUCGUUGGUGCCCCUACACAAAGGAAAGCCCACACGAGGGCCAAGCACCACGGUCGAGUAACUCCGUAGAGAGCCGCGGGCCUUCUCCACGCGCAAGUGGUGCUCCGCUUCCGACUCCUCUAGGACGCUCCCCGCUGUCUCCACUAUCGAGCUUCCGGCCGAAACGCCGCGGGCCUCGUUCCCUCCGGUACACGGUGGCGGUCGUGACACAAACACGGUUGUCACGGUCUCGCAAGACUCUCGCCCCACUCGGUACAAUUACAACGGCUCACGCAAGAGCCGAGGGGUUGUGUGGUUUUACAAAACUCACUCAACUAACUAGGGUUCACCUAGAGCAAGCGCUAAAGCGGUCUAACUAACCUAAGCACUUCGCAAAGCACCUACGCUAAUCACCGAGUGAUUCUAUUAAGCACUUGGGUGUUUGAGCUCUUGGAAUUGUGCACUAUAUGCCUUGGUAUGUUGCUUGGGCUCCCACACCUUCAAAUGGCCGGUUGGGUGAAGUAUAUAUAGGCCCCAACUCCAAAAUAGCCGUUGGAGAAAAGUUGCAGUUCUCUGCAGCACACCGGACAGUCCGGUGGUGCAUCGGACAUCGCACUGUAGCCUGUCCGGUGUGCCUAGCCGUUGCCCUGUCAGAGCAGGUGACCGUUGGCGUCGCAGGCUUUCCACACCGGACAGUCUGGUGCUCACACCGGACAGUCCGGUGGUCUUCUCUCCGGGUGCCACCUGGAACUAGCCGUUGGGCUGGAGUUCCCUGGUGCACCGGACAGUCCGGCGUGUGGGCACCGGACAGUCUGGUGCUCCACACACAGAUAGUCCGCAGGCAGCACACUUGGACUUUUCUUGGAUCUUCUUAAUGUCUUCUUUUGAGGUGUUGCUUUCCUCAAUUCCUUAGUCCAAGUAAAUCUUGCAUCCUGUGAACUACAAACACAAACACUAGAAAACUCAUUAGUUCAUGGAUUGUGUUGUUCAUCAAACACCAAAACUCAAUUAGCCAAAUGGCCCAGGGUCCAUUUUCCUUACAAUCUCCCCCUUUUUGGUGAUUGAUGACAACACAACCAAAGCAAGCAAAUAAUACAAGUAUUUGAAUGAAAAUAUGCAAUCUACUUGCUAGGAUGCAUGUUUGUCUCCACAAUGUGAUAUUAUGGACUUAAGCCUCCCCCUAACUCCAUAAUUCACUUACUUCCUAUUUUCUGACCAAAUAACCAAAACCACUUAAAAACCAUUUGUAGAUUUAAAAUUUUAAAUUUGUGGUGUUUGGUGUUUGAUGUAGUUUUCAUUGCUUUGGUCCCUAAACUUCUCCCCCUUUGGCAUCAACCACCGAAAAGGAAGACAUUUAAAAGCAUGUAGGAAGUAAAUAAAAGCUUGUCCUCAUUAGAUUACUCCCCCUAAAUGAGUGUUCUCCUGUAGAAAGAGUUUUCUCCCCCUUUAGAGAUGAAGAAAAGCUCCCCCUGACAGAGAUCUUAGGAAAAAGCAUGUGAAAAUUAGAAGUGCAAGACAUGAUUUGAAAAGACUAACUUCCCUUAUGCAUAGGUAACAGAAUAUGAGUUAACUAAUGCAUUUUUAGCAACAUGGAAGUAUAUGAUAUGAAAUAUAGUCUAAUCAAAUAUUGGAGAAGACAUGUAAAUGAUACUAGAUAUAGUCUCAAAAGAUACCAAUUGAAAUUCAAUGGCGAGCUUGAGAGACAUGAGAGUUCUUGGAGAUUUUGCAGUGGAAGUUUGUUGUCUUUCUCCGGGGACCUCUUUUUCCUUACAAUGAGACUAUCACAUGAAAUAGACUUGAAAAGGUGUUAGUCUCAAGGUAUUAGAUUAUAGAGUAACCUCCCCCUAAAGGUGUGCAUACAAGUUUUGAAUACUUGUAGGAGACAUGCACUUUGAUUUGAUAUCAAGAGGGGCAAAUUAUCUAUAAUCUGAACUUUGGCACAUAUAAGUUAAAUGAUACAACUUUGUAGAAUUCAAAAUUUUCAAUUGAUGUAUCAUUUAUUAUGGAGUGAUAUAGAAGCUAUGUGCCGUGCUUAAAUAAACAUUUUAAGCCAUGCAGGUUUGCUUAAGUAUAUGAAUUGAAAGCAAGCAAUCAUACCAUGUGAUUUACCUAGUAUGCAUAAUUUUAAACAAAAGUAAAUAACAAGUGUAAUACUAGGCAAGAAAGGUAAACUAGAUACAAGGUAAAUAGAUACACAUAUCUAAAAACAAGAGAUACAAUAAAUCUAGUUACCUUAGUCAUGGGUGGGAAAUUUGGGUCCAAAAUUUUCACUUACCCACUUGGCAAAUAACUUAGAUCCAAUAUGAUGUAUCCCAUGAUAUACAUCCCAACUUUGCCAAGUCUCCAAAUUUCCCAAAGACCUUCGGUCCACUCACUUCCCUUUCGGGAUCCAAACCUUCUUGGUGCUUUUCAUGGUUGAAAUUAUUUCCUUUGGCAUCCAGAUGCGUUUGGCCCCCUUUCUUUUGUUGACUUGCUUGUUGGCCUUGAUUGCUAUCACCUUUCCAUUCUUUUUCUUCUUGAUCAAAUAUGGUGUAGCAUCCUUUUUGUUCACCUUUUUGAUGUAGGUGUUGGAGAUUUUGCUUGAUGGCUUUUGCUUAAGCUUUUGCCUUUGUUUAUCCCCGAUCAUCGCCUUGCAUUGGAAAGACUUGUGGCCUUCCAUGUGGCAUAGCCUACAAAUCACAGUUUCUCCCUCUACAGCUUGUUCACUCCCACAGUGGUGUUAUCCUGUGGAGGUCGGAUUUGUUUGGCUUUGCCUUUCUUGUCAUACAAAGCCUUGCCAAGGCGAGCCACUUCUUGCUUUAAUUGUUCAUUUUCCUUUGCAACCUCAUCCGAACAUGUCUCUACAACAAUAUUCUCAACAACGACUUGGUUGCAGGGGUUAGAAUCAUCAAUUAAAUCAAAGCAGGAAGUAGAAGCAUCUUUCUUAAUUAUUUCAGGUAUUUCAACUAAAGAUGCUACUGGGGUGCUACCAAUGUUUUCUAGCUUAGUAGUUAGCUCAUUAUUGUGUAUGCUAAGAAUUUCCAUUUUCUCUAGCAAAUUUUCAAUAGCUUCUUGGGAGCUAGCUAACUUAGCCUUAAGUUUUUCAUUCUUUUUAAUGGGACCAUCAUCGGUAGCAGUGGAUGAAACACUAGAUUCUAAUAGCUCAAUUUUAGUUGACAACUCACUAUUUAAGUUUGCAAAAGUUUCAAAUUUUUCUAGCAAACCUUUAUAAUCAUUUUGGGAGCUAAUCAACUUAUUUUUCAAAGUUUUAAGUUGAGCUUUUUGCUUAGUGCAAACAUCCUGGAAAAAUUCUAUGGCUUCCGCAAGCUCAUCUAUAGAGGGCUUUCCCUCACCUUCAUCAUCACUACUACUUUCAUCACUAGAGGAUGGAAUGCUUUUGUUACCUCUUGCCAUAAGGCAUUUGUGUGAUGACUGUGAUGAGGACUGGUGGCCGCGCGUCCUUGGAGGUUCAUCUUCACUUGAAGAAUCAUCCUAAGUUUUAACACUUGUUAGCGCCUUGCCUUUGCUCCUCUCCUUUUUGGGUUCGGCCAUAUUUGGACAGUUGUCCCUGAAGUGGCCCUUCUCCCCACAUGCGAAGCAUCCUCUCCUCCUUUGCUUUUUCCUGUCAAUGUUAAAGAGAAGAUCUUCGACCUGCAGGGGCACACCCAUUAGAUUAAUCUUGCGGAUCAUCCUCAUUACCUUUCCGACGCAUCAGAUUGUUUCUUCGUCCUCAGAGGAUGAUGUGCAUGGUUGAUUAUCUUCAUCAUCAUCACUUUCUUCUUCCUCCUCUUCUUCACUUGAGGAACUUGGAGUAGGAGCCUUCUUUUUGCCCUUCCUUUCAUCACAUGCAAAAGCAUAUGGCCUUGAGUAAGUUGGCUCCUCUCCCCGACACAUUUUUCGCGACAUCUCAAAAGCCGCGAUUUUCCCAAUCACAAUGGUCGGGGUCAUGUUGCUCAAGUCCUCCAUGUUGUGAAGGAUGGUGAUGAUGCUCCCAUAUCUUCGUUGUGGUAGCAGGGAGUUAAUCUUCCUCAUAAUGUCCGCAUCACCUAGCUUAUUAAUGCCAAUAGAAUUGAGCUCAUUGAUAAUUAGAUUCAAACGAGAAUACAUGUCUCUAACAAGCUUAUCAUCUUUCAUAGCAAAAGAAUUAUACUCAUUUAAGACUAGGCAAUGUUUUUGCUCACAGACAUUGGAUGUGCCAUCAUGGAGCUCAUGCAAUUUUAGCCAAAUCUCAUUAGCAGUUUUCAAGGUAAAUACUUGAUUAAAAAUAUCCAUGCUAAGAGAUUCAUACAAGCAAUUUUUGGCUCUAGCAUUUAAAUGAAUUUCUUUUUCCUCACUCGUGGUGGGUUUCUCGGGAUUCUUAAGGGGUUUCAUCCUGUCACAAGUGACUCUCCAAACACCUAGAUCAACGGCCUCUAGGUAACAAACCAUUCUAGCACUAUAAUAUGGGAAGUUAGUGCCGUCGAGUGUGGUGGCCUAUGGGUAUCCAUCCCUUCCUCUAAAAAGCGUCGGCUCUUUUAGCGGUGAAGCUAAAACGUUUCAAAUGAGCCAAACCAGGCUCUGAUACCACUUGUAGGAAACGGGUGACGCCUAAGAGGGGGGUGAAUUAGGACUUCUAAAACUUUUACUAAACUAGGCCACAAUCAAAUCCCUAGAGCAAAACCUAUGCAAGUAAUUAAACUAGAAAGUGCAAUCUAGGUUUUGUCUAAGUGUUGCUAUCUCUACCGCAAUGGCUAAGUUUCAAUCUACACUAAAUAAGUAUGUAUACAAGAUUGAAACUUAAAUGCUUAAUAUAAAAGCGGAAACUUAAAGAGCAAAGUAGAGAAGCAAACUCUCGUGGAUGACGCCGGUAUUUUUACCGAGGUAUCCGGAACCACGCAAGGUCCCGACUAAUCCUCGUUGGUGUCCCUACGCAAAGGGAAGCCCACGCGAGGGCCAAGCACCACGGUCGAGUAACUCCGUAGAGAGCCGCGGGCCUUCUCCACGCGCAAGUGGUGCUCCGCUUUCGGCUCCUCUCGGACGCUCCCCGCCGUCUCCACUAUCGAGCUUCCGACCGAAACGCCGCGGGCCUCGUUCCCUCCAGUACACGGUGGCAGCCGUGACACAAACGUGGUUGUCACGGUCUCGCAAGACUCUCGCCCCACUCGGUAUAAUUACAACAGCUCACGCAAGAGCCGAGGGGUUGUGUGGUUUUACAAAACUCAAUCAACUAACUAGGGUUUACCUAGAUCAAGCGCUAAAGCGGUCUAACUAACCUAAGCACUUCGCAAAGCACCUACGCUAAUCAUCGAGUGAUUCUAUUAAGCACUUGGGUGUUUGAGCUCUUGGAAAUCUGCACUAUAUGCCUUGGUAUGUUGCUUGGGCUCCCACACCUUCAAAUGGUCGGUUGGGUGAAGUAUAUAUAGGCCUCAACACCAAAAUAGCUGUUGGAGAAAAGUUGCAGUUCUCUGCGGCACACCGAACAGUCCGGUGGUGCACCGGACAGCACACUGUAGCCUGUCCGGUGCGCCUAGCCGUUGCCCUGUCAGAGCAGGUGACCGUUGGCGCCGCAGGCUUUCCACACCGGACAGUCUGGUGCUCACACUGGACAGUCCGGUGGUCUUCUCUCUGGGUGCCACUUGGAACUAGCCGUUGGGCUGGAGUUCCCUAGUGCACCGGACAGUCCGGCGUGUGGACACCGGACAGUCCGCAGGCAGCACACUUGGACUUUUCUUGGAUCUUCUUAAUGUCUUCUUUUGAGGUGUUGCUUUCCUCAAUUCCUUAGUCCAAGUAAAUCUUGCAUCCUGUGAACUACAAACACAAACACUAGAAAACUCAUUAGUUCAUGGAUUGUGUUGUUUAUCAAACACCAAAACUCAAUUAGCCAAAUGGCCCGGGGUCCAUUUUCCUUACAAUGUGAAGAGUAGGAGCUACUAGCCAUAGGAGCCUUCCCUUUCUCCUUAUUGAGACUGGAAGUUCUUUGGCUUGUUAAGUUCUUGGGAUUCUUUUCGGAAACCAAGUCCAUCCUGAAUAGAGGGAUGUCUACCAACGGUGUAGGCAUCCCUAGCAAAUUUUAGUUUCUCAUAAUUAUCUUUGCAAGUCUUAAGUUGAGUAUUAAGACUUACAACAUCAUUGUUUAACUUAGCAACAGUAGAAACAUGUUCAUUACAAGCAUCAAUAUUAACAUCUUUACAUCUAUUGCAGAUUAUGAUCUGCUCUACACAUGAGCUAGCCACAUCUUAUCAUAGUGAAUCUCCCCAUCUCGCCUUCCACCAGUUCCAUCUUGGUGAUCAUGGUGGCGUCAUUACCCUGUGAGAGAUUUUGAGGGUAUCCCAUAUUUGCUUGGCAUUGUCCAAGCCGCUGACUUUGUUAUAUUCAUCCCUGCAUAGAGAUGCUAGCAAAACAGUAGUGGCUUGGGCAUUUUUAUGUAUUUGCUCAUUGAUAAAUACAGGGUUAUCAGUACUAUCAAAAUGCAUUCCAUUUUCAACAAUUUCCCAAAUACUAGGAUGGAGGGAAAAUAAGUGACUACACAUUUUGUGACUCCAAAAUGAAUAGUCCUCUCCAUCAAAGUGUGGGGGUUUUCCAAGAGGAAUAGAUAGUAAAUGGGCAUUCAAAUUGUAAAGGAUGUGAGAAUACUCAAAGGAGUAAUUUUGAUUAACCGUUUUCUUUUUCGACGAAGAGUCUUCAUCGUCAUCAUCCCAUGGUGAAGAAGAGGAGGCGUCGCUAUCGUAGUAGAUGAUUUUCUUAAUGCGCCUCUUCUUCUUUCCAUCCUUCUUCUUGUGACUCGAGCCUGAGUCAGUGGGCUUGUCAUCUCUUGGCUCGUUGAAGAGGGUCUCCUUCUCCUUGUCGAUGAUCAUCAUCCCCUUGCCCUUAGGAUCCAUCUCUUCAGGCAGUUAGUCCUUUAAUGAAGAGUAUGAUUUUGAUACCAAUUGAGAGCACCUAGAGGGGGGUGAAUAGGUGAUCCUGUGAAAACAAACACUAAAUAGCCCAAACUUGGUUAUGAAAUGUUAGUAAGAUUAAAGUCAAGUUGCUAUAGCGAGAACUCUUCACUUGAUUGUUCCCUUAGAAUGAGUAUUGAAUUUGGAACAAUUGCACAAGUGAUUAAGCGAGAACUCUAGAGAAGAAACCAAUCACAAAGAAAAGCGACACAAGAGACACAGUGAUUUUAUCCCGUGGUUCGGCCAAGUAUAACACUUGCCUACUUCCACGUCGUGGCGUCCCAAUGGACGAGGGUUGCACUCAACCCCUUUCAAGUGAUCCAAUGAUCCACUUGAAUUGUAAUACCCAAAAUCCUAUUUUGCGAAGUUAUAUAAUAAUAAUAAUAAUAAUAAAAUCUCCGAAGAAUUUGAGAUAAAAUAACUUCAAUAAAUGUUUUUCAUUCUUCAUAAAACAUAUCACUUUAAUUUUAAUAAAUAAUAAAAAAAACAAAUGUUAAAUUAUGGGAGAACCUUUAAAUUUACAUCCAAAAUGGUAUUUCUCAACAAUAUGUUAACUUCACGUUUGAAAUAUAUAUUUCUAAAUAAGUGAAUAAAAUAUUCCAUACAAAUAUAACUUACAUCCCACGCUUGAGUUUUUCACUGUGCAUUUAAAAGUUGAACUCAAACCUUGAGUGUGAAUUGCAAACCAAAUUUGAAUUGGGAAUUUGAAAAGAAAUUAAAAAAAGAAAAAAAAGAGAAUGGACAAACUGGAUUCUGGGCUGAAUUUCCUCCCCCUCAACCCAUUCCUCACACCUGCGGCCCACCUCCUCUCUAUCACCGCGUCCAGGUAACGAGACAGCGACGCUGCCUGUGGGCCCCGCUUGGCGGCGCCCCUCCAACGCCAUGCGUCCGGUCUUCUCCCUUCUUAGAAUCACUCAGCUGGAUCAGCGCAUGGGGUUAACUCCCGCUCAAAUCGCGGAAUCAGUUGAAACCGAACCGAUCUACCGCUCUCGGGGGGAAACAGGAAGCCGUCUCUGGCCGCCAGCGAAGCAGGUUACCAGAGGCAGGAAACUGCUUUCCCUCCAUAGUCGGCCGCGGUCAUCGUGGGCUCUGUGGGGCAUCUGGAUUCAACCACCGCCGUGGAUUGCUCGGCGUUUGACUCGGGAGUCCUCGACUCCGUGGUUAAAAGCUGGGCACACCGUGCUAUGUCCUUCGCAUGCAACCAACUCUAAGCUAGGGCGGCAAUCGUUGUCACCGGUGAGCUGAGAAAUAGGGAGGAGAGAGUUCGAGCGCACAAAUCGCCGUAUCCACCAAACCACACUCGGUUCGGGUGGCCAAUAUGGAGUCCGGGCGCGACGUGACCUUCUAGUGUGGCGACGGGAGCAGCUUGGUGCCUCGGCGUCAGGGAUUCUCUAAGCUCCCAUCACGGGGCGGACUUUCAGAAUGUUCGCGCCGGCCUCGUCUUCAUCUCUGUGGCGGUAUGUUGCAUCUCGCUGUUAACAAGUGUGAAUUCCAUGGAUACCUGUGUCAGCGUCAAGUGGUUGUCGUCGCUGGGCGAGCUCGCGAUGGGCGGUAAUGGCGCCAUCGCGGCUCACUCGCGCACCGGCGGCGGGGCAUUAGUGUCAUGGGUGGAAGAUGAUAUAUGGCCAUUAGAUGAAGAUCGUAGGGCUGCGAUUCCGCAACGGGUGUACCGGUUCAGGCUUUUGUCCGUACCGUGGAUCAAUGAUCCUACGACCGAGAGCGAGCGAGGGGCCGUGCGCUGUGUACCGUGGAUCUUGGAUCCGACGAUCAGGGGCGGGUACGGGUAUGUAAUCUAGCCUAGGUCUAAUCUGGCGCACAAGUUCUAGAUCUGACGACCUAGAUCGCCAGAUACCCUUUUCAGCCGUGGUGCGCUUUCUAAAGAGCCCCUCAAGUCUUUGAUAAUUAGCCCACGACCCACUCUAGACUUAGUCUAAGUCUUAGAACAAUUUGCACCGUAGCCCCUGUGGUUUCUGUAAAUGGUGUGCUCAGUCCAAAGAACAGAAAAUCCAAGGAAUUCAAUUAAAAAAAUACAUUUUUGUAAAAAUAAUUGCAGAAACUUAAUUAAUUCCUAGAAAAUGCAUUUUAACUCCUUUUUAGCCCAUUUCAGUUCCUAUAAUUUUUAUCAUAUUAUUGUUUAUCAAAUAGUGCCACUGAUUUGACAUGAAAGCCACUUUAAAAUUUAUUACCUAAUUAAUCUUACAUCAAAUACAUGAAACUUCGAAAAUCCAUAACUUCCCCGUUUUAAUUCCGAUUUGACUCGUUCCAGUUGCGUUAGCUUCGUAUAAAUAUUUACUACGCAGUAGCAACAUUUGUUAUAUGAUAUCACCUACUUUUAAAGUUUGUUAUUAGAUUAAUCUGUGUCUAUUGGAUUAACUUCUUUAAUAUUAAAUAUAGUAUUCUGAUCUGAAGAUUAUAAUUUGACUAGAUGAUCUUUAAUCAAAUAAUGCCUUAGAUUAAAGUUGAGAUAAUUAUUUAUAGAAUAACCUCUCAUAUGAUUUAUACUGACCAAAUUAUAAUAUAGUUUGACAUUUCAAUCACACAGAUCUUUUAUAAAAUCAUAACUCCUUAAUCGUAACUCCGAACUUAGUAGUUCUCGAAUCUGCGAUCUCGUAGCAACACGUAGAUCAUUAUUAUUCAGUUUGUUCUUAUGUUUGGUGAGAUGUUAAUUUUAUCUAUACCAUGUUUGUUUGUAUUGCUACGACUAGCGCGAGGACACGUGUCAUCUGAAAAGCAAGUUGGUACCUAAAAUCUCAAGUGCCAGGCAAGUUGUGCCCUUGAUCCACUUUUGUUACCCAAUAAUAUUCUUUAUUAUCAUUAUUCAAUGCAUAGGUUCAAUUUUGAUGGGACCAAAUAGGUCACCCUAGUAUGUUUAUCCUUUUUACCUUGUUUUACCCCUGAAUCAUUUGGGUAGUUUUGCUAUUGCUCUAUAUUGUUUUAGGUUAAUAUUUCAUUAUUAUCCAUGUUCCAGUUAUUCUGUUAUUUUAUUUAUGUUCAUGUCAAGAUCAUUAUAUUAUGUUAAUUAGAACAUGGAGCUUAACUUGAAAAACACAUGCCACCAUAAGGGAGGAUUGGGACCCCUUGGCUAACUAAUUAGGAAAGCUAGUGGAAGACUACCUUACCCGAAAGGGGCAAGGGCAGUAGGGGAGUUGCAUGCAAGGAGGUUCUCGGGUUGAUUUUGUUGCGAUGACAGUCAGACAGGGAUUCUUGCAAGUGCUCUUCCCAUAACUGUAGCGGGUUUUCGGAAGCUAGUGGAACUUUGUAUAGGCCUCGUAGUGGAUCCCUAGCCAUUCACCUCGGUAGUGUCUAAGGGCCUUGCAAACCCUGGCGACAUGGGAAACACGACUUGUGGGUAAAGGGUACAACCUCUGCAGAGUGUAAAACUAGUAUACUAGCCGAGCUCACGGUCAAGAGCAGCUCAGGACUCUCGCAUGAUUAAAUUAUGGAACUUAAACUCAAUUUGUCAUUUGCAUUUGCAUGAGAAUAUUUAAUAAUUUUGUUCUAUUAUUAUUUAUUAUGGUUUGGUAUUUACUUACACUAAGUAACUGCUAAUAAAAUUUUGACCAACUUAUAAAAGCAAUGCUCAGCUUUAACCUCUAUUAUUGAUUAGCCUUACACUUCAAAAACUCCCACCUUUGGUGAGUUCAUGCCACAUUAUUCCCCACAACUUGUUGAGCUAUGAUCUUUUGUGAGCUCACCCUUGCUGUCUCAUACCCCCCACAGGUCAAGAACAGGUACCACUGGAUGAGGCGUAUGGUGGAUGUUGCGCUAUGUUCGUGAGAGGUCUAGGUCGUCAUCUCCCAGUUGACUUUCUGGCACCAAGGAUAGAUUUUAGAUCCUUGUAUAUUUAUCUUUUGUUUUGUAAGACUUCCGCUAUGUAAUAAGUUCUCUGAUUAUAUUGUGACAUUUAUCUCUAUACACUCUGUUAUUAUAUAUGUUGUCUUCUUUGGCACAUGUAUGAGAUGCACUCGGCUUUGUCUCUUAAGCCCGGGGUGUGACAGAAGUGGUAUCAGAGGAAUGUUGACUGUAGGACAAAACCUAGAUAGAAAUGGACAAAACCAUUACCUACUUAGCUUACUCUGAUUCUUUUAUAAACUCAUCUUAAUCUUUUCUCAUCUAUUUCUGCUUUACUCUGAUUAUUCUUACCUUUUCUUUCUAAAGACAAAUGUGGAUUUCACACUUUGAAAUCCUGUGCCUAAAGUGACCUUAGGACUAGUAGACCUACUCUUAGGAACAAAAACAAAACUAUUUUGUAGGUAUCCAUACGCUUGAGUGUUUGUUCUUAUGAUACUGCCUGAUUUGGAUCUUUGAUUGAGUGUGAUUAGUUGUGGAGUAAUGUCCACAUUUACAUCUACAUAUGCGUAUAGGCAUAAAUAUAAAUAAAUAGAAUUCAUAAGAUAACUAAACAACUUAGAUUAUCCUUCAUUAAAGUGUAUCUAUUUCAUAUAGAUUCUUCUUAUCUUAAAAGAUUCUCUCUUAUCUCAAUAGAUCUAUCUUAUCUUAAAAGAUUCUCUCUUACCUUAAUAAAUUCAUCUUAUCUUGAAGGGAUUUUCAUCUUAUCCUAAUAGAUCUAACUAAUCUGAAAAGAUUCUAUCCUAUUCUUAGAGACUCAUCUUGUUCUAAUAAGCAUACUUAUCCCCACCACUUUGCUUAUCUCUUUAUAGUGUAACAAACAUGAUCUAUUCCAAAAUAAAUUAAGUAGAUCUUAUCUGAUUACACCAAUUUAAUUCUGAUCCCAUCUAAUUUGAUCAAAUCUAACUUAAUGGACAAACAUGUUAGAUAAUACUGGUAAAGUAAGAUUGGAUCCUACUCUUAUAAAUAUGUUUUAAUCCAAGUUGGACUAAGAUUCCAAUUUAGACUAGACCACAUACAACAACCUGGCCACAUACAACUACCUAACCAUAUGCGACUACCUUAACCAUCAGAUAGUUGCAUAACUCCUUUGUUUUAACCUAACAGAAAUUUGGAUCUACCUACGUCAUAUAAUCCGUCCUAUCUUAAAAGAUUCUAGCAUAUCCUAAUAAUAUAUAUCUUGCCCUGGUAGAUCUAUCCAACUCAAACUAGUCUAAUCUUGUUAUAUCCAAUCUAACCUAUACCCUACCUAAUCUGAUAUGAUAUGAUCUAAAGGGAGUUACUUAAACAAGUUAGUUAAUGCUGGUAACACAGAUUAGAUCAUCUUCACAUGAAUGGAUUCUAAACCUAAAUUGUGUCCUAGACCAACUUGUCCGUGAAACCAUGACCUAAACUAUGUUAUAGGUUGCCCAACCCGUUUAUCCCAAAAGCAAAAUAAAACUCUAUUUAAUCUACCUACCUCAGGUACUCGGAGUUGUUGACCCAACUAGGAUUGGACAUAACACACUCAACUUAUACUAAUCUAGGUCUUAUCCAAUCUAAUGUGAGUCACUUAACGAGUUAACACUAGUGAAAUAAACUGGAUCCUACUCCUAUGAACCUUGUUCUCCCCUCAUGCACAUAAACUAGUACCUUAGACUAACUCAGUCACAUGCAUGAGAUCAAACCCAACCAAUAGAAUCUUGAUGGAUUGCAUAAUCUGCCUACCCUAGAGCUGACUCUUGGGCUCGUUAUCCACCCCUAGUCUAUCCCACCUGACAUCAAACAAGAUUUUGACUUACAUCAAGUAGUCCAUCUCACCCAUAACUAUUUCAACCAUAUGCCCAACUCUGCUGAUAUACACCAACCUCGAAUCAAUGAGACCGUGACCGGAGAAGAAAAGAUCAACAUCGACAAGGAAGGAUAUACCAGUCAAAGCAACUCUCGAGAUGAAUCAAGACUUAAACAUUUCGGAGGAAGUCUUUUCCUUAACAUAAUCUUUCUUACAUCAACCUGUCUAGCUUAUAUCCUACAUAAAAAAAGUAGCUGGAUAUCUAUACUCUCCUAAUCACCCACUACCUCCACCACUACCACCAGCUCCACUAAGCUACAUAAACAUAUAUAUAUAUAUAUAUAUAUAUUACUAUUUUAGUUAAAUGUUACUUAGUUAGUGGUUGAUACUAUUUUAGGAGGAAUAAUAAGGGCUAUUUGACCCCAUGUGUUGCCAAUAAAUUAUGCAUCAUGCUGAGAUUUUUGUUUGUGCAUAUGUGUUGAGACAAUAUGAGUAUUCACCCUUUUCUUACAAAUCUCGAGGACGAGAUUUCUGUUAAGGGGGUAGGAUUUGUAAUACCCAAAAUCCUAUUUUGCGAAGUUAUAUAAUAAUAAUAAAAAAUCUCCGAAGAAUUUGACAUAAAAUAACUUCUAUAAAUGUUUUUCAUUCUUCAUAAAACAUAUCACUUUAAUUUUAAUAAAUAAUAAUAAACAAAUUUUAAAUUAUGGGAGAACCUUUAAAUUUACAUCCAAAAUGGUAUUUCUCAACAAUAUGUUUACUUCACGUUUGAAAUAUAUAUUUCUAAAUAAGUGAAUAAAAUAUUCCAUACAAAUAUAACUUACAUCCCAUGCUUGAGUUUUUCACUAUGCAUUUAAAAGUUGAACUCAAACCUUGAGUGUGAAUUGCAAACCAAAUUUGAAUUGGGAAUUUGAAAAGAAAUUAAAAAAAGGAAAAAAGAGAGAAUGGACAAACUGGAUUCUGGGCUGAAUUUCCUCCCCCUCAACCCAUUCCUCUCACCUACGACCCACCUCCUCUCUACCCACCGCGUCCAGGUAACGAGACAGCGACGCUGCCCGUGGGCCCCACUUGGCAGCGCCCCUCCAACGCCGUGCGCCCGGUCUUCUCCCUUCUCAGAAUCAUUCAGCUGGAUCAGCGCGUGGGUGAACUCCCGCUCAAAUCGCGGAAUCAGUUGAAACCGACCGGAUCUACCGCUCUCGGGGGGAAACAGGAAGCCGUCUCCGACCGCCAGCAAAGCCCAGGUUACUAGAGGCAGGAAACUGCUUUCCCUCUGUAGUCGGUCGCGGCCAUCGUGGGCUCCGUCGGGCGUCUGGAUUCAACCACCGCCGCGGAUUACUCGGCGUUUGACUCUGGAGUCCUCGACUCCGUGGUUAAAAGCUGGGCGCACCGUGCUAUGUCCUUCGCGUGCGACCAACUCCAAGCUAGGGCGGCAAUCGUUGUCACCGGUGAGCUAAGAAAUAGGGAGGAGAGAGUUCGAGCGUGCAAAUCGCCGUAUCCACCAAACUGCACUCGGUUCGGGUGGCCGAUAUGGAGUUCGGGCGUGACGUGACCUUCUAGUGCAGCGACGGGAGCAACUUGGUGUCUCGGCGUCAGGGAUUCCCGGAGCUCCCAUCGCGGGGCGGACUUUCAGACUGUUCGUGCCGGCCUCGUCUUCAUCUCUGUGGCGGUAUGUUGCGUCUCGCUGUUAACAAGUGUGAAUUCCGCGGAUACCUAUGUCAGCGUCAAGUGGUUGUUGUCGCUGGGCGAGCUCACGAUGGGCGGUAAUGGUGCCAUCGCGGCUCACUCACGCACCGGCGGUGGGGCAUUAGUGUCAUGGGUGGAAGAUGAUAUAUGGUCGUUAGAUGAAGAUCGUAGGGUUGCGAUUCCGCAACGGGUGUACCGGUUCAGGCUUUUGUCCGUACUGUGGAUCAAUGAUCCUACGACCGAGAGCGAGCGAGGGGCCGUGCGCUGUGUACCGCGGAUCUUGGAUCCGACGAUCAGGGGCGGGUACGGGUAAGUAAUCUAGCCUAGGUCUAAUCUGGUGCACAAGUUCUAGAUCCGACGACCUAGAUCGCCAGAUACCCUUUCAGCCAUGGUGCACUUUCUAAAGAGCCCCUCAAGUCUUUGAUAAUUAACUCGUGACCCACUCUAGACUUAGUCCGAGUCUUAGAACAAUUUGCGCCAUAGCCCCUGUGGUUUCUGUAAAUGGUGUGCUCAGUCCAAAGAACAGAAAAUCCAAGGAAUUCAAUUAAAAAAAUACAUUUUUUGUAAAAAUAAUUGCAGAAACUUAAUUAAUUCCUAGAAAAUGUAUUUUAACUCCUUUUUAGCCCAUUUCAGUUUCUAUAAUUUUAUCAUAUUAUUGUUUAUCAAAUAGUGCCACUGAUUUGACAUGAAAGCCACUUUAAAAUUUAUUUCCUAAUUAAUCUUACAUCAAAUACAUGAAACUUCGGAAAUCCAUAACUUCCUCGUUUUAAUUCCGAUUUGACUCAUUCUAGUUGCGUUAGCUUCGUAUAAAUAUUUACUACGCAGUAGCAACAUUUGUUAUAUGAUAUCCCCUACUUUUAUAGUUUGGUAACUAAUUAGAUUAAUCUGUGUCUAUUGGAUUAACUUCUUUAAUAUUAAAUAUAGUAUUCUGAUCUCAAGAUUAUAAUUUGACUAGAUGAUCUUUAAUCAAAUAAUGCCUUAGAUUAAAGAUGAGAUAAUUAUUUAUAGAAUAACCUCUCAUAUGAUUUAUACUGACCAAAUUAUAAUAUAGUUUGACAUUUCAAUCACACAUAUCUUUUAUAAAAUCAUAACUCUUUAAUCGUAACUCUGAACUUAGUAGUUCUCGAAUCUGCGAUCUCGUAGCAACGCGUAGAUCAUUAUUAUUUAGUUUGUUCUUAUGUUUGGUGUGAUGUUAAUUUUAUCUAUACCAUGUUUGUUUGUAUUGCUACAACUAGCGCGAGGACACGUGUCAUCUGGAAAGCUAGUUGGUACCUGGAAUCUCAAGUGCCAGACAAGUUGUGCCCUUCAUCCACUUUUGUUACCCAAUAAUAUUCUUUAUUAUCAUUAUUCAAUGCAUAGGUUUAAUUUUGAUGGGACCCAAUAGGUCACCCUAGUCUGUUUAUCCUUUUUACCUUGUUUUACCCUUGAAUCAUUUGGGUAGUUUUGCUAUUGCUCUAUAUGGUUUUGGGUUAAUAUUUCAUUAUUAUCCAUGUUCCAGUUAUUCUGUUAUUUUAUUUAUGUUCAUGUCAAGAUCAUUAUAUUAUGUUAAUUGGAACAUGGAGCUUAACUUGAGAAACACAUGCCACCAUAAGGGAGGAAGGGACCCCUUGGCUAACUAAUUAGGAAAGCUAGUGGAAGACUACCUUACCCGAAAGGGGCAAGGGCAGUAGGGGAGUUGCAUGCAAGGAUGUUCUCGGGUUGAUUUUGCUACGAUGGCGGUCAGACGGGGGAUUCUUGCAAGUGCUCUUCCCAUAACUAUAGCGGGUUUUCGGAAGCUAGUGGAACUUUGUAAAGGCCUCGUAGUGGAUCCCUAGUCAUUCACCUCGGUAGUGUCUAAGGGCCAUGCAAACCCUGGCGACAUGGGAAACACGACUUAUGGGUAAAGAGUACAACCUCUGCAGAGCGUAAAACUGGUAUACUAGCCGAGCUCACGGUCAAGAGCAGCUUAGAACUCUCGCAUGAUUAAAUUAUGGAACUUAAACUCAAUUUGUUAUUUGCAUUUGUAUGAGAUUAUUUAUUAAUUUUGUUCUAUUAUUAUUUAUUAUGGUUUGGUAUUUACUUACACUUAGUAACUGCUAAUAAAAUUUUGACCAACUUAUAAAAGCAAUACUCAUCUUUAACCUCUAUUGUUGAUCAGCCUUACACUUCAUGAACUCCCACCUUUGGUGAGUUCAUACCACAUUAUUUCCCACAACUUGUUGAGCUAUGAUCAUGUGUGAGCUCACCCUUGCUGUCUCACACCCCCACAGGUCAAGAACAGGUACCACUGGAUGAGGCGCAUGGUGGAUGUUACGCUGUGUUCGUGAGAGGUCUAAGUCAUCGUCUCCCAGUUGACUUUCUGGCGCCAAUGAUGGAUUUUAGAUCCUUGUAUAUUUAUCUUUUAUUUUGUAAAACUUCCGCUAUGUAAUAAGCACUCUAAUUAUAUUGUGACAUUUAUCUCUAUACACUCUGUUAUUAUAUAUGUUAUCUUCUUUGGCGCAUGUAUGAGAUGCACCCGGUUUUGUCCCUUAAGCCCGAGGUGUGACAUGAAUACCACAGUUUUCUUCCUUAUAGUUGUUUUCCUGUUUGUGAGGAAUCUUUAUAAGUUGGAGCCUCUCACCUUUACAAAGUUGAUCACAACAAAAACACGACAGUAAGGGAGGGAAAGAAACACACGCAAAGACUAGAGUCACAGCAAUCCCACACACACAAGUUAAGAAGAGAGCACACAAACAACAACGCAACAAGUCUAUAGCUCAUAAAGUGCUCAAAUCUCAAUCGCGAUGAUCCGAAUGCGUGGUUGUGGAGUCUAGGCGUCUUAGGAUGUUCAAUGGAGGCUUGGUUUGGUAUAGUGCUCCAUGUGCCUAGGGGUCCCUUUUAUAGCCCCAAGGCAGCUAAGAGUUGUUGGAACUCCAUUUGGUAGGCAAUUCUUGCCUUCUGCCGGUUGCCGUACUAGAUAGUCUGGUGCACCACCGAACAUGAACAGUGUCUGAUUCCUUUCCUUUUCUGGUGAAGCCGACCGUUGAGCCUGUGGUCUCCUUGGCGCACCAGACACUAUCUGGUGCGGCCUGGUGACCGUUGGCUCGACCACGUGUCGCCCCCCGAUCGCGCAGCCGACCGUUGGCUCGGAGCGCUGAUGGCUCACCAGACAGUCCGGUGCACACCGGACAGUCUGAUAAUUUUUAGCCACGACGCCCCGCUAAUUCCCGAGAACAGCGAGUUCGCUGCUGGACCAGUGUCCGGUGCACACCGGACAGUCCGCUGUACCGAAGGCUGGUACAAGUUUGGCUGGACUUAGCCAAAACUUCUCCAAUCCAAUUUCAUUUGACAAGCAUCCUAGCACUUAGAGAAAUAUGUUAGUACCAAAAACAAUUCACUAAGACCAGAGUCAUACCUUAGUUAUUUGAUUUUCAUCUCUUUAGCACUUAGCACAUAUGAACCAAAAUAUUAUGUGUUGGACAUUUAAUCACAAAAAUAUUUAUAAAAAUGGCCUAAGAGCACAUGUUGGGGACUUGUUCUCAAGUGCUAUGAGUUAAGAACAAGGCAACACAGAGAAUGUUAAACGAUAAAGUCCUUCGUCCUUUGAAACAUUAUUUCCCUUAGGAUAUAACGAUCUUCGGACGAAGGUCAUGAAAGACGAACCUUCAUCGUCACAAUAUACAUUAAUGAAAGACGAAGCAUAUGAAACAUAAAAGAUAGCAUGAAUAAUUAUAUAACAUCAUCCAUUUAACUUUAUUAUAUCAUCAUAGAAAAAUAGAGACAAUAUCGAAUUAUAAAUGUACCUUCGGCUUGAAAAGAGAUGAAAAUACAAGUGUGACGCAAAAGCAAAUGCCAAGUCAGCCUGAACAGUACGGGAGUACUGUUCAUCUAUUUAUAGACGUGGGACGCAGCCCAUGUAAAAUUACAUUCAUGUCCACUACAUUUGUGUAAUACUCAAGUUGUAAAGAAAAAAAAAUGCCUUGUAUGAAUUGCCCUAUUUAUUAGUACAUGUGAACACCCACAAUUAAAAGUGAAUUAAUUAAUAAAUGACACGUAAGUAACCUAUGCAUCAUGCUGGACUUCUUUUGUUUGUUUGUGCAUCAAACACAAAAUUUAUAAAGGAGGUAAGUCUAGUUUCGAAUUCAAAUUAGGGCAUCAAAUAAAAUGAGAAUAGUAGAGUUAAAGAAUGGAGGAUAUCCAAUAAUUAUGCCAAUAAAUAAGUGAUUAUCUCAAAAGGAGAUAGUAAUAUUCAUAAUAAGGUUUAAUUAGCCACAUGAAGGUAUGAAGUUCAAAUCACUAAUUCAAAUUCAUUAGAAAACUAGAAAUUCGCAAAAUAAAAAGAAAUAAGAAAAAGGAAAAUCUCAAACUCGCUUACUGGGCCGGCUACAUCACUUUUGGCCCCAGAUUUCUUUACCUCCGUGCGGCCCAUUAUCUUCACGCGCGCGCUGGACGUUUCUCCAUGAGUCACUGGCAACGCGGGUCCGUUUGUCAGUUCGUUCCCCCACCUCCCACGAUUGUCGGCCCUGCUCAACAGAAGCCGGAGUCCACGCCGGGUCCUCGCCUGUGCGCGCGGUGCGGACUGUUGGGCUCGGUGUCCACCUCCGUUGGGGGAUAAAACCACUCCCCCUGCUACCUCGCGCCAACGUCUUCUAGCCGCCAUAUCACCGAGUGUGGAGAAAGCACCGCCGCGACUCCCCCGGGAUUGACCAGCUCGCGCCUACCUUCUGGAGCUCUCGGCCACCACUCGUGACUUAUUUAGCGCCCCGUGAACCGUUCCUCUCUACCCCCUCGCGUGUGCCUUGUUUCCCCUGAGCAAACCACCACCACCACCGCUGCGGUGGGGAGGAAGACCCGCCACGGGGAGCCUCUAGCCUGGUCGUUGCUUGCAUCGUCGGUGUGGUUGGAGACCUUCCCCAGGCUCAGGGUGAGACAUUUGUGGCCGCGCUACCUGUGAUUAAUCACCAGCUCCACCCCAAUUUCUUACCGUCGUUCGCGCGACGCCCCGAUUCCGCACCUCGCCGUCGCCAAGGGACUCGGCGCCACAAUCGUCGGUGAGUACGCAUCCACCGUGUUCGCGCGGCCAUCCUUGUCAUUUUGCGCUUGUAGAAUUGGGGGGGCAGCGCUCGGUAUCACCGGCCAGUGGGGGUCGCCGGCGAGACUUGACCGCCAGAGCGGCGCCACCGUCGGUAGCGAUUGGGUUGGGGAAGAUGGUCUCGCGCCGUCAGAUGGAAAUUGGACGGUGGCGAUUAGAGCAGACCUUACCUAUUCGCGGGAGUCAUCCGGUCCGUCCAUCUGGUCUCGGGCGGAUGCUAAUCGGUGUGCGCGUGUAUUAGAUCUGGCCCUGAAUUUUAGAUCCGACGGUGACAUGUGUGGUCGUGGGUGUUGUCCGAUCCGAUCCAAUCAGCGUCGUCCGUUUCUAAUCGGAUGGCCGUGCUUGGCCGAUACCCCUUCGACCUCGUGACAUUUACAAAAUAAACCCCCUAGUUUCCAGUAUUCAACCCGCCGUCCAUGCGGAUGUUGUUCUGUGUCUCGGUAACACUUGCACCGAGACCCCUGCACUUUUCAUAUUUUAGCGCCCAGUCCAGAGGAGUUUAAAAACAGAGAAAUAAUAUCAGAAAUUCAUUUUUAAUACAAAAACAAAUCUAGAAACUUGUAUAAACCAUAGAAAAUCCAUUUUUACUCCAAAUCACUUCAUUCCAGUUCCUAAAUUUUUGUAAUAAUAUUGUCUACGUAUUAGUGCCUCUGUUCUGACAUGACAAACACAUUAAAAUUAUUCUUUCACUUAAUCUUGUAUUAAAUGCAUAAAACCUUAGAAAAUCCAUAACUUAAAAUAUAUAACUCCAAAUUUAAUGAUUCCAGUUCCAGUAAUCUUAUUUUAAUGUCUAGUUUACUACUGUAUAUUCUAUUUGCAUGUUUGAUGUGAUGUUAAUUUAUGCUAUGCUAUGUAUGAAUUGUAUUGAUGCGAGUAGACGAGCAAGCCACCGUGGAAACUGAGGUUCAACAAGUAGAGAUAGCUGAGCAGGAGCUCGUGGAAGGCAAGUUGUGCCCUUGAUCACUUCUUUUACCUAUUCAUGUUCUUAUUAUUCAUAAUGAUCUGCAUAGGUUAAUUUUGAUGGGACCCAAUAGGAUACCCUAGAUUUUGACUAUCUUUAUACCUUGUUUCACCACUGGUUUUACUACUAAAUUUUUGGGUAGUACAUGCUAUUGCUUUAUGUGGAUUUGGGUAUAAAGAUAUUUAUGACUCAUGACUACACUUUCUAUUAUCUGUUCAUUAUUUUAUGUUCAUGAUAAGAUCAUUAUGUUAAUGGGAACAUGGAGAACCACCCGGGAAAACAGUGCUACCACAAGGGUUUAAUGGGACGCCCUUGGCUGACUAAUUAGGAAAGCUAGUGGAAGACUACCUUACCCGAAAGGGGCAAGGGCAGUAGGGGAGAGGUCAGUGCGGGGAGGUCCCUGGUUGAUUUUGCUGCGAUGGCUGUCAGCCAGGAACCCUGUACUGGAUCUUCCUAUAAACUGUAGCGGGUUUUCGGAAGCUAGUGGAACUUUGUAAAGGCCUCGUAGUGGAUCCCUAGCCAUUCACCUCGGUAGUGUCUAAGGGCCUUGCAAACCCAGGCGACAUGGGAUACACGACUUGUGGGUAAAGAUGCGCAACCUCUGCAGAGUGUAAAACUAGUAUACUAGCCGUGCUCACGGUCAAGAGCGGCUCGGACCCUCACAUGAUUAAAUAUGGAACUUAAAUUUAAUUUGACAUUUGCAUCGCAUUUGGGAUUAUUUUACUAUUACUUUUCUUUAUUAUUAUUAAGGUUUGGUAUUUACUUACACUUAGUAAUUGCUAAUAAAAUUUUGACCAACUUAUAAAAGCAAUGCUCAGCCUCAGCCUUUAUUCCAUUGAUCAGCCUUACACUUCAUGAACUCCCACCUUUGGUGAGUUCAUGCCACAUUAUUCCCCACAACUUGUGGAGCGAUGAACGUAUGUGAGCUCACUCUUGCUGUCUCACACCCCCCCCCACAGGAGAAGAACAGGUGGUCGAAGAGGAGCCGCCUAACACUGAGGAGUUUGAUCUGAUCUAGGUGGCGUUUCUCAGUCGACAUUGGCGCCGACGAUCCUUAGUUCAUUUUAUACUUAUUGUUUUCUUUUAUUUUGUAAGACUUCCGCUAUGUAAUAAGUACUCUGAUUAUUGUGACAUUUAUCUCUAUACACUCUGUUAUUAUAUAUGUUGUCUUCUUUGGCGCAUGUAUGAGAUGCACCCGGCUUUGUCCCUUAAAGCCGGGUGUUACAGAAGUGGUAUCAGAGGAAAUGUUGACUGUAGGACGAAACCUAGAUAGAAAUGGACAAAACUCUUCCCUACUUACCUUACUCUGAUUCUCUCUAUACUUAUCUUGAUCCUGUCUCACCUUCUAUUGUUCCACUCUGAUCAUUCUUACCUUUUCUACUCCAAGACAAGACGGAUUUCACACCUUGGAAUCCCUACCCCUAUGACAUUCUUAAGAGUUAGGGAAGCCUAAGACAAAAUUAAAACUAUUUUCUCUAUUUAAAAAAAAUGUUGGUUGAUUGUUCUGAUGGUAAAUGCUUGAUUUGCUUCUUUGAUUGAUUGAAACAUUAUAGUCGGGCAUCUUAGCAUGUACCACUAUAAGGUAAUGAAUUAGCUUUAGUAGGCAAAACACUUAGCUAAUGAAUCCCCCAAAGUAACAUAAUUCGUAAUCACCUGCCUUGUCUACAAUUCUUCCUUUCUUACCCUGUAUUUCUAACCCAGAUGAACUACCCCUAUAGUGUUAGAAGAGAGCACUAUAGACGUGAUCCUUGGUAUGUCAUGGUUAAGAAAGGCAAAGGCAGUAUAUACACUGUGCUAAGGGAGCUGUAGAACUCACCAGUUCCAAAGGAGAAAGAUUUGAAGUUGGAAUUGCAGUAACCUCCUCAUCCAUGCGUGCAAUGUUCUUUAUGCCUGAGGAGUUUGGUGGGUGACAACAUCCGUGCAGUUAGGGAUUUUUCGGAUGUCUUUCUAGAGGAGUUGUUAGGGAUGCCACCAGAUAUGGAAGUUGAGUUGGUCAUUAAUCCCUUAUCUAGGACUGCCCCUACUUUCUAAACGGCCAUACAUGAUGUCUGUAGAAGAGUUAAAAGAACUUAAGAAGCAGUUAAUAGAGUUACAAGAGGCUGGGUACAUUCGUUCGCAUUCUUCACCAUGUGGAGCGCCGGUUCUAUUUGUAGAGAAGAAAGGAGAAUCGCAAGGGAUGUGCGUGGAUUAUAGGUCUUAACGAUGUCACUGUGAAGAACAAGUGUCUAUUACCCCGCAUUGAGGAUUUAUUUAAGCGGAUGAGAGAUGCUAGGAUAUUCUCGAAGAUUGAUCUCCGAUCGAGUUACCAUCAAAUGAAGAUUAGGACAUCGGAUAUUCCCAAGACGGAUUUUCUCGACCUGAUAUGGUUUAUAUGAGUUCACAGUUAUGUCAUUUGGACUAACUAAUGCACCAGCCUAUUUUAUGGAUCUGGUGAAUAAGGUGUUUAUGGAGUAUUUGGACAGAUUCGUCGUAGUAUUCAUCGACGAUAUUCUUAUUUAUUCCAAGAGUGAAAGUGAUCGAGGAACAUCUGAGAUUGGUGCUACAGAAGUUACGAGAUAAUCAACUCUACGCCAAGUAUAGCAAAUGCGAGUUUUGGAUUGAUGAGGUGUCAUUCCUCGGACAUAUCAUUUCUAAUGGAGGGAUAUUAGUGGAUCCUGCUAAAGUCAAGGAGAUAGUGGUGUGAAGCGUACCCACUACAGUUACUGAAGUCCGGAGUUUCUUGGGACUUGCAGGAUAUUAUCGGAGAUUUAUUGAAGGAUUUUCUAAGAUCGCUAAGCCUAUGACCUCGCUUUUGGAGAAAGGAAAAGAAUUUAAGUGGGACGAGAAGUGUCAAGACAGCUUUGAUCUAUUGAAGAAGAGGUUGAUGUCGCCACCAGUAUUGGUUAUGCCAGACCUACAGAAAGGAUUUGAUAUCUAUUGCGAUGCAUGUGGCCAAGGCUUAGGAUGUGUGCUCAUGCAAGAAGGACAUGUGAUUGCCUAUGCAUCUCGUCAGUUGCGGAAGCAUGAACUGAACUACCCCACUCAUGACUUGGAACUAGCAGCAGUUGUGCAUGCACUUAAGAUUUGGAGACACUACAUUAUGGGGACUAAGUGCCAAGUAUAUACGGAUCAUAAGAGUUUGAAGUAUAUAUUCACUCAGAAGGAUCUCAACCUUAGGCAACACCGUUGGUUGGAGCUUAUUAAGGAUUAUGAUUUGGAGAUUCACUAUCACCCGGGCAGGGCAAAUUUGGUUGCAGAUGCCUUGAGUCGGAAGGAGCAUGUUCAUUCAGCUGUUGUUGCCCAGCUACCCGAUGAGAUUGUUGAGGAUUUCAGGAGACUUAACCUGGGGAUAGUUGCUCACACUGAAGGAGUUACUAUUGAUGUGGAACCUACUUUGGAGCAAGAGAUCCGCAAAGGACAAAUUGGUGAUGCUAAAAUAAAAGAGAUUAAGGAUCUGAUUACUGAAGGUCGAGUUCCGGAGUUUACCGAGGAUGAGCAUGGCACCAUGUGAUUCAAAGACAAGAUAUGUGCCCUGAGAUUGAAAGCCUUCGUGAGACUAUAUUAAAGGAGGCCCAUGACUUGGAUUAUUCUAUUCAUCCUGGUGGUACCAAGAUGUAUCAGGAUUUGAAGCGAAAAUAUUAGUGGUAUGGAUUAAAGAGAGAUGUGGCUGCACAUGUGGUUAUGUGCAAUGUGUGUCAAAGAGUUAAGGCUGAACACCAGAGGCCAGCUGGACUACUGCACCCACUAAAGAUACCCGAGUGGAAGUGGAAAGAGAUUGAUAUGGAUUUCAUUACUGGAUUGCCUCGCACCUCGAAAGGAUGUGAUUCUAUAUGGGUUAUUGUGGAUAGCCUGACUAAAGUGGCUCACUUCAUUCUGGUCAAGACUACUUAUAAGGUAUCUCAAUGGGCAGAGUAUUAUAUGGCUCGGAUUGUGUCUCUACACGGUGAACCGAAGAAGAUCAUUUUGGAUAGAGGAUCAUAGUUUACCUCCCAAUUUUGGAAAAGUUUUCAUGAGAACAUGAAUACAAAGUUGAAUUUUAGUACAGCCUAACACCCUCAGACUAAUGGAUAGACUGAAAGGACUAAUAAAAUAUUGGAAGAUAUGUUGAGAGCUUGUGCCCUUCAGCAUGGUAGUAGUUGGGAUAAGAGUCUACCUUAUGCUGAGUUCUCAUAUAAUAAUAGUUACCAGGCCAGUUUGAAGAUGUCACCGUUUGAGGCUUUGUAUGGCAGAAAGUGCAGGACUCCCUUGUAUUGGAAUCAAACUGGUGAAAGACAGUUGUUUGGACCUGAGAUUAUACAAGAAGCAGAGGAACAAGUUCAGCAAAUAAGGGAGAAUUUGAGAACUGCACAAUCCAGGCAGAAAAGUUAUGCUGACACCCGGAGGAGAUUACUUGAGUUUAAGGAGGGUGAUUAUGUCUAUUUGAAGGUGUCACCGCUCCGGGGCAUGAGGAGAUUUAAAGUUAAAGGAAAGUUGUCCCCUCGCUUCAUUGGACCUUUCUUGAUCUUAAAGCGAGUGGGAGAAGUUGCAUAUCAACUGGAGUUACC
rnacentral:lncRNA from 1 species